AAAAUAUGAAUUAAUUACCUUUUAGUUUACUCAAUUAUUUAUUUUAGCUGGUUUUGAGGAGAAUGGUUUUAUGUGUUUUUAUGAAGGCUUGCUGAUAUUCUGUAUGGAGAAAGACAGCAUCGUCUGAAACGAAAAUCUAUGAAAAAAGGAGGAAGACCAUUUCCUCAAACUCUUAGGGUUCCUUCAGAAAAACUCAAGCAAGUUAUUUAAUGUCAAUUGUAUGAGGUUGUAUUAAUUAUGUUGUACUUUUGUAUAGAAUAAGGUUGAAGGCAUGAGAGUUAUGUGCAACUCUUGUAGCUUGCAAGAACCAUGAAUAAUGCAGCAAGCAUCUCUGUCAUGAGAGUUCUAUGCAGCUCUUUGUGAAUGUGAUAAGCAUCAAUGUAUAAUAAUAUUAUGUUCAACGAAUGUGAGUUCUGUGCAGUUCUUUUCUUUUUCUUUCUGUGCAUAGAAGAAACGUUUUUUGAACUAAUAGAUUAGUUAAAUUUGAAUUCAUAGAAAGAAUUAGUUUCUAUAAAUGGGUUUGAGAUUAUGAUUGAUGGUUUAGUUUAAGAUAAUUUUGGAUUAAUAAUUCUUUCAUCAACUUGCUUCUGUCUUUUAUUUCUUUUAUAAUUCAUAUUGAUAAGUGCAAAAUGAUGGAUGAACUCCCACGUGUUAUUAUCUGAAUUGUGUCUCAUGUUUUAUAUAAAAAUAUGUAACUUACAAUUAAACUAAUUGCAUGUAUUUAAUUAUGGCCGGCUUAUAUUGAUCAUGUGCUAAUCAUGCUAUUAAUUAAAUAUUCAAAUAGGGAUAAAUUUAUUUUAAUAAAAAAAUUAUUAUCAAAUUCACAAGGUUCACAUACCUAAGUUAUAAUCUAUUAGAGUGAAGUACAAAAUAUCAUAUACAUAUAUACAUUGUUUUUACUCUACUGUCUUCUUUUUGUAAGGACUACCUAUUACAUAUACAAACAAAAAAUCAUUAUCAUCUUAAUUUUUUUAUCCUUAAUAAAAUAAUUUUACAAUUUUUUUUCUCUAUUUUUUUCUACCUAAUAAAUUUCAUUUUUAAUUUAUUUAUUUUCUUUUCUAUCUAACAACACGACUAACAACAUAUAUAAUCACCAGAAGAAAAAAAACUUUAUAUUUUCAUAUAAAUAAUAAAUCACUAGUAUAAAAUAUGAAUAUAACAACUAUAUAUAUUAGAUCGAUUAUAUGGAAAUCGAUGUGAAGUUGUAUACAGUAGGGGAUUUUACAUCAUUUAUACUCUUAAUUAAUAUAAUAUAUAAUAUAUUACAAAGCACACCAAUUAUACUUUUAAUCCAUGUAAUAUCACAUUUAAAAAAAUAUAAGAUAGGAUAUAUUAUAUCGAUUGUAUAAAAAAUUUAUUUUUUAAUUUUUUCAUUAUUACUAAUUAUUAUUUACCACAAUCUAUAUGUUUUAUUAAUCCUAGAGGACCCAAGUCUUUCCAAUGACCAGGGGAAGCAUUGACCACUAGACCAGACAAGUUCUUUGGUCAUAUUAUCAUUUUUAUUAUACUUAUACAUAUUAAUAUAAUUUAUACAUAUUAAUAUUAUUAUUAAUAUUAUUAUUAAUAUUAUUAUUAAUAUUAUUAUUAAUACUAUUAUUAACAUUAUUAUUAAUAUUAUUAUUAAUAUUAUUAUUAACAUUAUUAUUAACAUUAUUAUUAAUAUUAUUAUUAAUAUUAUUAGUAUUAAUAUUCAUAUUAUUAAUAUUAUAUUCAUAUUAUCAAUAUUAUAUUCAUAUUAUUAAUAUUAAUUUUGAUAUAAAUAUACAUUUAGAUAUUUAUUGUGUGUGUAUAGUAGUUUUAUUUGACUUGAGUAAUAUUACUUUUAUCCGGAUAUAGAUAGAUAGAGAGAAAAAGGAAGAAAUUAUAUAAUAUUAAUAUAACUUUAAUACUAUAAAUACAUAUAUAUUGAUUAAUAUAUUUCUUUAUUUAAUCAUUAAUUUUUUAAAACUCAUGGUUAAAUUUAAAUUUACUUUCAUAUUAUAUAUAUAUAUAUAUAUUAAUAUAAAAUUAUUUGAUAUCUUAUUUUCAAAUAUAGGUUAUUAUAGGUAGUUGUGAAGUUUUUGUUAGAUGGCUAUAUAGGUGCUUGUAUCUUACACUUCUUUUCUGAUUUGAGAUUCUUGUAUACGGAUUGAAAUAUCCUUAAAAUGUUUUGUUUAAUUUUUUUUAUUCUUUGUCGAUAAAAAAAAUCUUAUUUUCAAAUAAUAUGAUAGUUGANNNNNNNNNNNNNNNNNNNNNNNNNNNNNNNNNNNNNNNNNNNNNNNNNNNNNNNNNNNNNNNNNNNNNNNNNNNNNNNNNNNNNNNNNNNNNNNNNNNNNNNNNNNNNNNNNNNNNNNNNNNNNNNNNNNNNNNNNNNNNNNNNNNNNNNNNNNNNNNNNNNNNNNNNNNNNNNNNNNNNNNNNNNNNNNNNNNNNNNNNNNNNNNNNNNUUAAUAUUAUUAAUAUUGUUAGUAUUAUUAAUAUUAUUAAUAUUGUUAGUAUUAUUAAUAUUAUUAAUAUUGUUAGUAUUAUUAAUAUUAUUAAUAUUGUUAGUAUUAUUAAUAUUAUUAAUAUUGUUAGUAUUAUUAAUAUUGUUAGUAUUAUUAAUAAUAAUAAGUAUAAUAAAAAUCAUAAUAAAACUAAAGAAUAUGCUUGGUGUAGUGGUUAAAUUUUACUUGGUUGUUGAAGGAUUCUGAAGGAACCUGGCUUCGAAUCCCAUUCAUUGCUAAUUUUAUUUUAUGGUGCUAAUAAUUUACAUACGGAAAAAAUCCGUAUGAAAUGUUGAUUUUACGGUAUGUAAUAAUCUGUAUGUAAUUCGCGUUUUUCUUGUAGUGAAACAAUGAAUAAAUAUGAAUCACUUUAGGGGUGAUCAAACCCUUAUACAAAGCACACAAUCUUUAUCCUUUUCCUCUCGAUACGUCCCCGCCAAUAUUGCUUGGGUGGCAUGGGAUAAGGUGUGUGAGUCGAAAGACAAAGGAGAGUUAGGGGUUAUUGAUAUUAGAAAAUUUAACUUGGCCCUAUUGGGGAAAUGGAUCUGGAGACUUAAAUCUGAAAAGGGAGGUGUUUGGAAGGAUAUUCUAGACUCUAAGUAUGGUGGAUGGGGGGGGGCUAAGAUCCCAAAUUCAGAUAAGUAAGCAAUCGCUAUGGUGGAGGGACAUUAGAAAAGUUUGGAAUUUAGAGGAGUGGGGUAAUGACUUUGAAGAUAGAGGUUGGUGGGAAGUAGGGGAUGUAAAAGAAGUUAGGUUCUGAAAGGAUAAAUGGGUGGACAAUGUUUCUUUAAAACAUAAAUUCCCUAGAGUUUUCUCGUUAUCUUUGGAUACUAGUCGCACCAUAUCACAAGUUGUGAUGUGAAUGCAAUAACAAGAAUACACGAUUCUUUGACAUUCUUAGGAGCAACUUGAGUUGGUCAUGAAAUGACACUUUACUUAGAAUUGGAUCAAUGUUCUAAUUCAAGAACUCACCAAGACUUUGCACCAACCAAAGCUCAUAUGGAAGUCCAUAUAUUGUCAAAUGGAAUCAAACAACAAGGAAUGAAGAACAAGAAAGGAAAACCGAACAGAAUUGCAAGAUUAAGCUACUGUACCGAACAGAAAUUGAACACAAAGCUGGAAAACACAAUUUCAAUCGGUGGAAAUGAAUGGAAAACACUAAGCAUUGGAAACUACCGAAUAAAAAAUGAAAGUAAUGAAGGAAGGAACACUUAUGGAAUGAAGCUUGCUGGAUUUGAGACUUUGGAAAUUCAGUCACGCCACUUGGAGCCUUGUUCCAAGAUAAGUGCAAGGUUGCCGCCACUUGAAGCUCACCAUUGGNNNNNNNNNNNNNNNNNNNNNNNNNNNNNNNNNNNNNNNNNNNNNNNNNNNNNNNNNNNNNNNNNNNNNNNNNNNNNNNNNNNNNNNNNNNNNNNNNNNNNNNNNNNNNNNNNNNNNNNNNNNNNNNNNNNNNNNNNNNNNNNNNNNNNNNNNNNNNNNNNNNNNNNNNNNNNNNNNNNNNNNNCCAACUAGUGCAUGAAAGAAGUGUGACUUUCCUUCCUAGUUUGGCACCUCCUAACUCCUAUCUACACUCCCCCUAGCAUCCCUUACUACUUACACACCUAUUUAUUACAUCCGCACCCCUACUCUAUAAAAGAAAUAAGAAGAGCCAUCUUUUGAUACUCUUGUCCCAAAGCUCUUGCCAUGCUCCUAGUGAUUCGUUGGGCUUGGGCUUCAUGGGCUUGAGCAUCCUCUACUUGGUUUCCAUCAAGUUGGGAUUUGGAACAAUAAUAAUUGGUUGUGAAAGUUGAGCUGGAGAAGAAAUCUUUUUGUGUAGGAAUCUAGUCUGGCUGAUAUUUUAUUGCAGGAAUUGGAGAACAAGAGGUUAACAAGAGAAGGUGAAAGUACGACUGAUAAAUGGCUUUGGAGGGAUAUAGGUUGUACAGAAUUUUCUGUGAAGGUUGCCUAUAAUAUUCUCUUGGGGGAGGAGUCUACCGUGGUUGGGGACCCAUUUGUGGAGUUCUAGAAGUUAAAGACUUUACCAUCGUCACAAGUUACGGCUUGGAGAGUGUUAUGUAAUGUGAUAGCUACUAAAGACAAUUUCUUGAGACGUGGUAUACUUAUGGUGUGUGCUCGAUGUCCCUUAUGUGGCUUGGAGAAUUUGGGGAAUGUGUCUUGAGUGGUUGGGGUAUUCUUCGGUCCUACAUUGUGAUGCACAAUUGCACUUUAAGAUGUUUAAACCUAUAGGUGUGAAACAUGUUAUUGGUAGGUGUUGGAGGGGGGGAGGGUUUAUUUGGAUAGGCAUAGUAAGUGAAAUUUGGAACCAUAGGAAUAGGGUUGUCUUUGAGAACGGGCACGUAGAUCUAGUGGAGGUUUUCUCUUUGACACAAAGGAAGACUUGGUCCUGGGUCACGACAAAGGAAAGUGUGGUUAAUUUUUUCUACUCAGACUGGUGCUUGGAACCUCAAUGUUGUAUGAGGUAUUUGAAAGAUUAAUAUUUGGUGUUUCUUGUGUAUUCUUAUCCAGGUUUGGAAGGUAUUGUGUGUUUGUGCAGCUUGUCUUGGUCAUUUCUAUUUGGCAGGGUUAGACUGAUGUUUUUGUUCUAGACUACGGUAAAGAAAGUGUUUUUUAUGUAUGUUUAUCGGUUUGGUGUUGGAAUCUUUAUGGUGUUUGAGCUGUGGCAAAUGGAUGUGUCGCUUUUUGUUACUGUUGUGUCCAGUUUGGGAAGUUGUUGUGUGCCUUUUGCAGGUCAUCUCUGGUUGAUGUACCCUCCUCGUAGGAUCGGUUUGUUGAUGUUAGCACUUGGUUAUUUGGUACAAUUUAGCCUGCUACAAAGAUAUGGCUUAGUUGUUGGAUGUUGUGUCUUGUAUUGGUUUCUCGAGUUUGGCACUUGAUUAUGGUACUUCAGCCUGAUGGCAAAGACCCUUUUUAGUUGUUGGAUGUAUGUCCUUGAUUGAGGGUGUGACCUCUUUAAGGGUUUGAUGUAACUGUAUUUGUUGGGUUUCUAUAUCUUGUACUGAGUUUUUAUCUUGUUCUGUAGUGCAAUGUUUGUUGGAUCCUUAGUUGGUAGGAUGCAAGAAAACUUGUUUUUGGAGUUUUGUAUAAAGGUAGAGACACUCCUGAAGUGUCUCAUUUUAUUUUAUUUAUUCUUUGCUGAUAAAAAAAGAAAGUCUCCGCCAAUGCCUAAAGAUAUCACUACUUAAUUAAAACUGAAAAGAAUCACCUAAAAUACUCACUUUUACUCCAAAAAAAUACACACCAUGACAUCAUCCCCAUACGGACCAAGAGUCAAUACACAGUAAGUAAGUGUUUCAUUAGAUUAAAUUAUAUUUAGACUUACAUUAUAAAAUUAAAUGAUACACGACUCAGGACUUAGGAUUGAGUUUUAAAUGACCCAAGCAAGUGUUUUUUCCUUAACUCCUCAACUUUAUCAAAGUUCUCCGUUUGAUACUGUUUUUUUUUGUUUCACAGUAAAAUAAGAAAUAUUGGAAGAAAGAAAAGUCUAAACUCUCAUAAUCCACAUGUUUCUAUGAUAUUGAUUAUCAAUUUCAUUGAUAGCGGUUUAUAAUUUAAAUUUUCAUUCUAAGCAAAAUUGUUACAAUGCUUCAUGGUUAUAUUUCUAUAUAAAAUAAGUGAGGGAUAUUUUAUGUUGAUUAUUUUAUUAAAAAAUCAAAUAAAUUAAUAUAUAUGAAUAAUAUUUAAAAAAUAGCUAGAUAAGUAUUUUGAAGGAACUUGUGUACUUGAUCUUUUCAAAUAUGUUGAACUUGUAAAACUAUAUAUAUUUUAGGUGCAAUACAUAAAAAGAUAUUGUGAAUAUUGGAGAAGAUAAAAUAAAUUCGUAUGUAAUAGAACCUAUUCUCUUAAAAAUAUGAUAAAGAUAUAUAAAUGUAUUCUUUUUUUUAUAUAUGUAUACAUUUGGCGCCUCCUAAAAAAUAUUUUCAACUUUCAUCAGUAUAAUUUUAAAAAAUUGGAUUCACAAUUGCUAAUAAUAGAAGUGAUGAAAAAUACAUUAAAUUUAUAUACGAUAUAUUUAUUAAAGAGUUACCAUUAUUUUAUAAUAAAAAUUAAUUAUUUUAAAAUCAAAACAAAAAUGCAACAUAUACCUAUUUAUAUUAAAAUUUCUUUUUCUAUAAAUUUCUUUUAGAAUUUAUGCCAUUAAGAUGACACAGUAAACAUAAAAAACAACUUUACUAGGUUGUAGUUAGGCGUUAUGUUAUGAAACGAAAACAAAACAUGAGUACUUAACAAAUUCUUGUUGUUUCCUCUGAAUAACAAAAUAUUUUCCUUUCAAUAAUCUUGGUGCUUGUGCUAGGUACUCAUGGCAUUUCUACACCCUUAGGUUCAUUGUUAUCUGUAAAUUUUUUUUUUGUUACCCGUAAAUUUUUUUUUUUAUCAGUAAUGAAUAAAUUAAAUUAACAAGAUACUUCAAGAAUAUCUCAACACGUUUACAAAUAGUUUAACCUGCAAGAAUAAAGACCCAAAAUACAAGUUUACACUUACAGAAACCUAUACCCAUCCUCCAAGCAAAAGGUGGUUGAAGCCAGAAGUAACAGCAUCCUAAGGAUGUCCCUGCAACACUGAUUGUGGCAGUAUAAAAAAAGAAGCAAAAAUGUGCACAAUCUAGCUUGUCACACAACAUACUACACCAUCAAUGCCUUCUCCAACCAAGCUUUUACCAAAGCGUAUUUUGGGCACUUAGCCCAUCAACAUGCUAUGCAUCACAAACCAGCAAUGCCAACACAUCACAACAACGGUUUUUUAUCAUGAUGGGGUUAUUUUUUUUGGUUUUUACCAAAAUGGGGUCCGUUUAAAAAAAAUUACAAAUUUAGGCAAGUCGUGCCAAUUCGGCACGACUUCAUAUGCAGAAAUCGUUCCAAUUAGGCACGACUUUUGCCAUGUCAUACUGAAGUCGUGCCAACUUGGCACGACUUCUGCCCCGUCAUAUUGAAGUCGUGUCAACUUGGCACGACUUCUGUCUUGUCAUACAGAAGUCGUGCAAAGUUGGCACGACUUCUGCCACGUCAUAUAUAUAUAUUAAAUUUUAUUGUUUAUAUAUUGGAUAGUAAGUUAUGUAAUGUUAAAAAUUAAUUUGAUACAUAAUUUUUUAAGAGUGUUAGUUUUAAGGAACAAAAAAUUCGAUAAUCGUGUAUGGAUCAUGUUUGACGGUAAUGUAAUACAAUAACUUGAUUAUUUGAUUAAUUAAAAAAUGAAGAAAAUUGUUAUUGAAUUUGGAAAUAAAUAGAUAAAUUAAAAAUUAUUAUAUUUGGAAAAUAAAUAGAGAAUUAUUGUUGUGAAUUUGCAAAAUAAAUAGCUUUAGAAGUAAUGAUUUUACAGAACACGUAAUGAUGAGAAUAAAUUAAUUUUUAACAUUACAUAACUUACUACCCAAUAUAUAAACAAUAAAAUUAAAAAUAAAAUAAAAAAUUAUGACGUGACAGAAGUCGUGCCAAGUUGGCACGACUUCAGUAUGACAGGGCAGAAGUCGUACCAAGUUGGCACGACUUUAGUAUGACAUGACAGAAGUCGUGCCUAAUUGGGACGACUUCUGCAUAUGAAGUCGUCCCAAUUAGGCACGACUUGCCUAAAUUUGUAAUUUUUUUAUAUGGACCCCAUUUUGGUAAAAAUAAAAUAAAAAAUAACCCCAUCAUAGUAAAAAAACCCACAACAGCAGUACCUGCACCAAAGCAUUUCUACUAAAAACAACAGACCAAACCAUUAUCUGCCCCUGCUGGUAUAACCAACCAUUUUAUAGGAUGAAACUGUUUUGGAUAAACCAUUGAUCACACCCUUAAAACCACAAGCCUUACUAGCCAAGAGAUGCAUAAUUCUCACCCCUUGCUAGAUCCAAGCUGCAUAUAUAUGUGCUUGAAAUAUGAUCUGUUUUUGAAUUGUUAUUGCGAAUAGUCCAAAUUCUGGUGGCAACACUUGCACUUAGUGUCCCUCCUCAUUCAUUUAUACCCAAAAAUUCUUCCAGGACCACCAACUUCCCCAUCUAGCUACCAACCACCAAGCUUCACCAGUUAUCUUCUGCAUAGACUCGAAAUGUCUCUGAUACCAUAUUACGAAGUGGACUUUAAGCCUAACUCAACCCCAUAAAACCAGCUCAUGGGUUGAGGUUUGCACCCACUUAUAUACAAUGAAAGGCUCUAAUCUCUAGUCGAUGUGGGAUCUCCAACACACCACUCUCCAACAUCUUAUUCUGUUCCAACCCUGUUGGUCGAACCUGCCAUACUCCAUUGAGUCAACUGGAGAUGAAGCACAAUCACUUAAAAGCACAAGUUAGCCUUAUGCCUUUAGUUUCGACUACUCCAUUUCUAGCAGCAACAACUCCAACACUCCAACCCUUGGCUCCUCUAUUUCUGACAGAAUUCCAUUCCAUAUCAGCAUACAGUUCUUCCAAACCAUCAUACCAUUCCAUAUCACCACUCCAUACCAGCAUGACAGCUUCCAGCUUUCCUUACAUUCACUUCAUAACAGAAUCCCACUGAAGUCUUGUAGACCAUCAAAGCUUACACGUGGUUGGGCAUGUACUCACAUCAGAGAAAUGUGCCUAUCCCUUCAAAAUUACCACUUCUUGCCCCUGCAUCUAAGCCUUACAGACAGUAUCUACGGUUUCAACUCUAGAUAUGUGUUGGUCAGCAACUUUUAAGACUACUGCAUCUACUACUACCUCCUCCCAAAUCAACUUCCUGCACAGGAGGUUGUCUCUACCAUCUGUGGCUUUACUUGUAGCUAUUAAUGAAAAUCAUUGGAUUAAGCAUCCAGUCUACAAAGGAGUAAUAAAGGAAUGUCCCUUAUGCUUCAUCCUGCGCCAAGACUUGAGCUGAGCCCUCUGAAAAAUAUCUUCCGCAUCUACUACCCCUUACUUGAAAACUAACAGGUUCCUUUGAUCCCAAAUGCAUCUAAUAACAUUUACACAGACACCUUUCCAGACCAGGUUCUGCUUAAAGCUAGCAUGGUUCAAGUAGAAACUUUUGAAGUGCAUCUUUAAAUCGUUAUGUUGGACAAAAGAGGUACCAAUCCAUUCAAAGCACAAAGACCAUAUGCAUAACACGUAUUUACAUUUCAGGAACAGGUGUUGGCAUGACUCCUCCUUUACCUAACAAAAAGAGCAUAGAGUAGUGCUCGUCAUUACCCCUCUCCUGCUCAAGCAUUGUCUUGUUGGAAUUCUACCCAACAACACACGUUGUUUGGACUUAAGUGAAUCAUAUAUGUUGAGUUGUUUUUUGGCGGGUUUAAAGAAAGUCAGGUUGAUUUUUGCUUAAUCCCAAGUCCCACAUCGGUGAGAAUUAUUUGGGGAGGGAGUUUGAGGGUUAUAAAUUAACCUUUCAUCCUUCAUUGUUAAUAUUCCAAUUUAUAAUAUCUUCUUCCACAUUAAUAAAAACGAACUGUUUCAGCUGUGCUCAGAGAUUAGGCUAAAGUGUCCGAACUCUGUUAACAAGUUUUGAGUGUAUUUUCCUCUUUAUCUCUUCUAUUAUUCCGCUUUAUUUAUUGGUAUUAUGUUGCUUUCUUUUCUGUUAUAAUAUUCAAUAUUAUUUGUCGGGUAGUUUUGUUAGUGUUCUGUUUUAGUGGGAAAAUUACCCGAUUUUUCCAACAAGUCCAACGUUAUGCUAUGGCAGUAGAUAAUUUGACAAGAAUAUUUUUUGAAUAUAAGAAUUUAUCUAAUAUUCAUCUAAUAGUUUUCUUGAAUUUUUGUUUACAGCUAUAAGACAAGCAAUGGAUGUGCGAGGACAAGGUAGAAACAUUUUUUUAUUUUCGAUGUGUUUAUUGGUGACUAGCUAUUUGAUGCAGUCUUUUAUUUGGUGACGCAGAUCUAUCAAAAUAAAAAGAUUGGUUGAGUAUUAAAAUCCACAAAUGUUUAGAAUUUUCGUUGUCAUUUUGUUUCUCUGCAGUGGUGUUUGCAUUAUUGGAUUUUCUGUUUUUUAUUGGAGUCUUGUGGUUAGGUUUUGGUAACCUGAAUACUUUAGUGUAAGUUAUCAUUUCCCUUGAAUUCUUGAUUGUAGUUUUGACAGGGUGGCGUUUGGGAAAAGUCAGAAAUCUUGUGGGUUUUUUGGAUUAGGAAUUGUCCAAGUAACAACUCUCUCUCGUGUAUGUACAAGUUUGAUAUAUGUGACGAUUAGAAUUUGUUAAUUUUGGGUCAUCAUCAGUUUUAGAUGACAAAAUUCCUCAUUCUAUUUUAUUUCCACAUGACCCUCUCCACUCUUUACCUUCCAAAGUUUUUGGGUCCACAUGCUUUGUUCAUAAUUUUAGUCCUGGUCUUCAUAAAUUAUCUCAUAAGUCACACAAUUGUUGAAUGUUACAAUUGCGAAAAAUAUGGACAUUAUGCAAAGGAGUGUUAUGCUAAGAAAAGAGUGGAAGAAAGUGCAAAUUUAGCGGAGGCACUACAAAAAAUGUUGUAUAAACUGGCGUUUAUAAAUGUCACAAUAUAUGCGUGUGACGGUUUCCUAAAUCGCCAUAAAACUGGAUGUCACAAAGUUUAGUGUGUCAGUCUUACGCUACUUGCCACAACACCCGUCACUUUAACACUUGUUUAAAGUGACAUUUUUUAUAUGUAAGCAGUGUUAGUCAUAUCUAUCGCAAUUUCAUUCAUCGAAAAAGAUUUAAGCACCAUUAUAUAGGGUAUAAUGUGACAUUUUCAACUAUCAAUAUUAUAAUAAAAUUGUAAAAAUAAUACGUCAAUUUCAACUGACGUAAUUUUAAUUCUAAAUAAAUGGAAUUUAGCCACCACUUUUAAUAAUCUGGUUUGCAUAAUUAAACUAAACAUAAUAUAUUUUCAAAAUAAAAAAAUAAAAUACUAAUAAAAUGAAAUAAUAUAUAAAGUUAUAAGCAUCCAUUCAUUGCAUUGAAAAUUAAAACACACAUUGUUCAAAUUUUAUACAUAAUUGAAAAUUAAAACACAAAUAAUUGUUCAAAAGUUGAUACAUAAUUUAAAAUUGACCACGUUCAAAAUUUGAUACAUAAUUUAAAAUUAAAACACACAUUGUUCAUCUCUAAUUAGUUUUGCUUCCAGCACUUGAUCCUAUUACUUGGUUAGGUGAUGGAGUACCACUUCCAGUAUUUGAUGCCUGAAAUAAAUAAUUUUACGUUAAUGAUUUUGAAUGUUUAUAAUUAUAAAAUAAAAGACACUAAUAAAUAUUUAAAUAUAUUAAUACCUUAUUGAUUGACGCAUGAACCAAAUUAGCUGCAUUGCAACAAAAUGUUCUAGAACAUCUUUUCUCAAAGCAAUGUAUUCAAGCAAAGUGUUCAUUUGAUUUUUCACAGUUGCAAGCUCAAUUUCCAUUUGAAUUACCUUGUCCUCCACAUUUGAUGAAGUUGAACUAGAGGAAGCAUACUUCAUACCACUUAGCCUUGUUGUUGAUCCUUUGAAAGCAAGGCCGGGACAAUCUCCAUAUGAUAGCCCUCUAACUCGUCCCGGAUGCUCCUUACCAAAUAUGACACCAAUUGGAUCUUCUGGAGAUAUAUCUGGAGCAACUUUUGGAUUUAAGAUCAUCAAUUAAAUUGUAAUAUCAGACCACAUCGUAAUGAACAAAGAGUGCAACUUUUCAAUUGAAACUUCACUAAUGGACAACCAUAAUUUCCUCCAUGCUUUCAAGCAUUGAUGAUACAUCUACAUGUGUUUUGAAAACUAAUUAAAAUGUUUUACAUUGACAAACUCCCUAUCCAAACACUCACAAAUUUAUAAACAAAGAAGGAAAUUUUCAGAAUAAUUCAAUCAUAUCCCUUUUAAAGAGCCAUAAAAAACUCUAAGUUGACAAAUAUGAGCCUUCACCACCCUUUUGCAAGAUUUUGUAGAGAUAACAACAUUUUUUCCAAAUCUAAUCAAGGUAUAGGAAAUAAAAAAUGACCUAUUACUUGAUUAGGUGAUGAAGCAUCACUUCCAAAAUCUAAUGACUGAAAUAAAUAAUAAAUAAUUUAAAUUAAGAAAAAGAGAUUAUGAUAAAAACAUAUUAAAACAAUAAAAUAGUUUCAAAAAAUACGAUAAGAAAUUGCAUCCCUUUCAAAUAUGACCAUGUUUCUACUACUUUCAUAGCAAGAAAACAAGAAAUCCAGUGUGAAUUUUGUUUUUGCUUUCCAUUAAUUAAACAGACAAGAACCAUUAAAGAUGAACAAAUAAUGUUCUAUAGCAUAAACAAGUGAUUCGCAUUUCAAUUUUGAUCCUACAAAAAAACUUUGUAUAUGUGGUGAAAGCAAAUUUAGAUCAACACUGGCCCACCCACGGGCUCCAAAGUUCAAGCCUCAUAUAACUCAUGAUUUUUUAUAUCGAAACAAAAUAGCAAGUUAUACAAUUUAGUAAGUACAUCAACCAGAAAAUGCAAACAAUGAUAUAAUAACAUAAUAAUAGAAAAAAAAGAAUACAAUUGAUGAGAAAAUAUUAAAAAUACUUAAAUAUUAUGUUGGCAGAAUUGGAAGCUUUCUGGUUGGUGCAGUGUUCUCUGUUUUGUUGCAGUGCUCAUUGGAAGCUUCAUCCGUGGAAAGCAGGGUAUGCUUUUGGAAGCUUUUCAACAAAUGUACCUAUUCAUCAAGACAAUUUUGCAAGCCACUCUUUUGGAGUAGGUUUAAAGUUGCUAAUAAUAGAAGUGAUGAAAAAUACAUUAAAUUUAUAUACAAUAUAUUUAUUAAAGAAUUACCAUUAUUUUAUAAUAAAAAUUAAUUUUUUAAAAUCAAACAAAAAUGCAACAUAUACCUAUUUAUAUUAAAAUUUCUUUUUCUAUAAAUUACUUUUAGAAUUUAUGUCAUUAAUAGUUAAUGAGAUGACACAAAGACAUAAAAAACAACUUUACUAGGUUGUAGUUAGGCGUUAUGUUAUGAAACGAAAACAAAGCAUAACAAAGUACUUAACAAAUUGAUGCAACAAACAUUAAGGUGAAAUCCUUUGAUUAUGAGAUGGUAGUGACCUUUGGCUGCCAUGUUCUAUCAAGACAUUUUAGUAUCUUGAUGUUCAACUUCUCUUUAUUAAAAGUCUUACCAAGACUCAUCAAGUGAUUCGCAAUGUGAGAAAACCUUUUCUACCCAUCACAAAUGGAUUCUCCCUUCUGCAUUCUGAAGAGUUCACACUCUUGAAUCAGAGCAUGCUUCCUAGCUCGUUUGGCAUCGUUUGUACCUUCAUGUGUGACUUCUAGGAUGUCCCACAUUUCCUUUGCAGAGCAUGUUAUCAGAAUUUUAACCGAUUAAAACUUCGUUUUAGUCAGUUGUUUAUACCAGCAGUAGAAAUGAAUUAACACAAACAGUUAUAGAGAGUUUGAGAGAAGGAGAGAUUUACACAAUAGGUUUGUACUUGUUCACUCACACAUAGCUACAUCCAGUUCUCAGACAAUCUCUGAGUUCCACUAGUAAUCACAAACAGAUUACAACACACCACAAAGAGGUGACUUUAAAUCCCACAAAGCCUACUCACCCUCUUUGCAACACUUCACACCUCAAGACAGAACAACCCUCUGUCAAACACACACAACAGUUAAAAGAAGUACUAUUACAAGUAACUAAACAAGGAUAAAAAACACCUGGAUUUGCAUAAUACAGGAAACUCCUAUGACUAGAACUUGUUACCACAACAAAGCUUGAACAACAAUCUUGUACUUUUGAAAAAAUCUUUUCAAAAAAAUGAAUCUCUUUCUUUGAUCUCAAAUCUGCAUCAAUACUUGUUGUAUUUGAAUGUGUAUUUUGUUUGAAAGAGAGACUAUAUUUAUAGUUAUGAAAUGUAUCCGUUUAAGACAAUUUUAAUCACUAAAUCAAUUAAAACAAGUUUUCAAAAAGUUGUUAUGAAAACACACAUUUAGCCGUUUGAAACCACGAUUUAACCGGUUGAAUGGGUUAAGUUGUUGCAUAACUAAUUCAAAAAGCAAUUUCAUAAACCUCAAGCCAGUUAAGUGACAAACAACCGAUUAUCUCGAUGAUUCAACCGAUUAUUUUCCCUUUGCUUGGAAAAACACUUUUUUCCUUUUAAAACUGAUUGAUCAAGCUUUGUGUAGGAAUCAAAACUGAUCUUAACAAAGAUUCUAAACAACCUAAUCUAACCCAACCAAAAAGUAGCACAACUUCAGGCUUCAUGUGGAUUUGAAACAUCAAAGAUCCAAAGUUCAAAAAGGAAGACAUGUUCAAGGUGUUCCAAAGAUGGGCAAGGGUGAAAGAGGUGUUCAUUUAACGUAGGUUGAACAGGUGGGGGAGAAGAUUUGGGUUUGUGAGGUUCUUUGAAGUUGGAAACGUGGGGCGCCCGGAGAAGAAGUUGGACCAAAUUUACAUUGGGAAUUUGAAACUCUAUGUUAAUGUCCUUAGACACAGGAGAUCAAAGCUUAAGCAAUAUAGAGAUACAAGAAGGAUAGGAAGGAUUACGGGUAGGGAAAUACCAAGGGAGACCAAAAAACAUAGUAUGGUUAUUCUUGAGGUGAAGAAGAAGAUGAAAGGCAAGGAGGUUUGGAUGGAGAAGAAUGGGAAUAAAUCGUAUGCUGAUGCAGUUAGAGGGUCCACACAAAACAAUUGGAAAGGUUCAAUCAUUACGUCUACACAUCUCGUGCUACCAUGGAUGAAGAGUAGCGUAGUUGGCCAGUUCUCUAUAGAACUGGAUUUCGAGCAACUAUGUAAGGAAUUUGUAAAAGGGGGAAUGAACAUGAUUAAAGUGAGGUAUAUGUGGGACAACUUGGCUUUACUAACGCCAAGAGAAUUGGAGUGCAUGGAAGAUCUAAUCAAGCUCAACAAAGAGUGGUUUGAAAGUGUGUUUGAAACUAUUGAUCCUUGGAGUGAGUCAUAUGUUGUUGGCCAUAAAAUCGUUUGGGUGAAGUGCUAUGGUCUCCCCAUAUCCCUAUGGAGCAAUGAUUUCUUUGCCAAAGUAGUAGGAGAAGAGGAAACACUAGUGGUAGUUGAUAAAUCUACGACAUCAUGGGACAAUCUUGAGUAUGCAAGACUGCAAGUUCGUAUCCUUAAGAACCAUAAUGUGAGAAUGGUGAAGGGCUUGCGGAUCAAUGGUGAAGUGUAUAGUAUCUUUAUUGAAGAGGAAUACCCAAGUGUUAGUGAGGGACAAUGCAAGUGUCCUGAUAACCACUACGCUUCUUCUGAUAGUGUUACCUCUUCAGAAUCCUUUGUGGCUGAAACUGUAGUCUUUGUAAGCAUUUGUGAAAAAGAGUUCCGGUAGAGGGAAGGGGAGGAGCAUCAGUCGAUGAUGGUAGCGAGGGGAUAGGUAAGGAUCUCAAUAGAUAAGAUAAAGGUUAUGCUUUUUCGGGAAGGCUCUAUCAGAAGCAACGAGAAACAGAGGAAAAAGGGUAAGUCUGUCAUGGAUGAGGAAAAGUGUGGUAAGUGUGCCACUAUUGAGGCUGUCAGCCAUGCAACCUUGUCUCCGACACUUGCAUUCUCUAGCCGCAUUGCCAAUACAACUUUAGCAAACCUAGUCGUAGCCAUUGACGACCUAGUUGCGUCAAUGUGAAGGUCAACAAUCAUAUCUUGUCAAUGUUGGGCCUUGGGAAUCAAGGGAAGGUCGAAGAGAUGGUGACUCUACUUUGAAUCUCUCAUGUGGCCUAGGUGAUGAGGGAACAAUUGUGCGGAGCAUUAGUGAAACCCCCACAAGGCAUCGUAGGUACAAAGGGCUUUGGGAAUUGGGGGAACCUAGCUCUCUUGUAAGGGGGAAGAUGAGCAUAAGGGCGAGUUGCGCUCUGGUCAGAAACAAUACCUUACCUAGAUCGGAUGCUUCCUCAGCAACCACCUAGAAUGGGGACAUAGUCAAUUUUAACUCUAGAUUCUAGAAUAUGGGUAGCUGUGCGAAACCUCUUAAUUUGUGGGAGAUUGAUAAGCAAGUAGGUAUCACUUGCAGUGGGAACGAAGAAGAGGUCAUCAAAGAAUUUAAAAGUAUGGAAGAAAGGGAUAAUGAGGUGAUGAGGAGGUAUGAGGAGGGAAUUAAAAAGGGUUACCUAUGAUUAUAGUGACUCUGAAUAUAAGAGGUCUAGGGGGAGGGGGUGGGGAGGUACCUUAGGUAAAUUAUUUCUCGCGAAGGUGUAGAUUUUUUAAACUUGCAAGAAACGAAAGCAAAAUCUUUCUCAUAUGGUAGAUUUUUUCUUUGUGGGGGGACAAUAAGGUUGGCUGGAUUUAUAAUGAUGGUGUUAAUGGUGCGGGUAGUCUUUUAACUAUGUGGAAUAAAGAAUCCAUUUGCUAUGAGAGUCAUGCGAUGGGGAAGGGUUAUAUAGCUUUUUUUGGCUGUCAUAUGUCUACCAAGAUAAAAUCAGGUGUGGUUAAUCUGUGUUGAAUGCAAUCUUAGAGCCAAGGCUAUCUUAUAGGAGGAACUUUCUGUUGAAGAUGGAUGAAGUCUCUUCUCUACCUAGUGUUGUGUGUGUUUGAUGUAGAAAAUAGCUAGUUUGUUGUAAAGUUUGUAAUAGGUUUAGAUGAUCUUGUAUGUAGGCUUGUAAUUGUGUAAGGUUGCCUUUUGCUGUAUGACCCAUCCUAGAUGCCUAACCAAGUCUAGAUCAAGCACAUGAUGUGGUUAAAUGGUUUUUGAAAAGCUUUUAAAAGUGCUCUUAAAAGAUUUAAAUCAGUACAAAAAUAAAUAUGUUUUAUGGAGAAAGAAUCGGUUUAUUUCUUCUCUGUUAAAAGGCUUUUCUAAAAUUCUGUUAGGGCACCACAGGUAAAACUUAGUUCGUUAUUUCAGUUAGCUGAGCUGGCCUGUUUGUUAUCUUUUAAUUUGUUUCACUGUGAAAGAACAUGUUUAUUCUUUGGUCAGCUGAAAGGUUUUUCACAAGUUAGUUAGGGCACCAAAGGCACAACUCAGACAGUUAUUUCAAUUAGCUGAGUUGGCGGUUUUCACAAAAUAAAUCUGUUAAGUUCAAAAUGAAUCUGUUGUUUUCAUAACUGCUUUUCAACUGUUUUUUGAAAAGAAGUUAGAAACUGUUUUCUAUAUAAAGAAAAGUCUCUCUCACAUGAAAAGGUGCUGAGCAAUUAUGUUUUUGACAGAGAUCAAACAAUUUCCAUGUGAGAAGAAGGAUUGAAAGAUUUNNNNNNNNNNNNNNNNNNNNNNNNNNNNNNNNNNNNNNNNNNNNNNNNNNNNNNNNNNNNNNNNNNNNNNNNNNNNNNNNNNNNNNNNNNNNNNNNNNNNNNNNNNNNNNNNNNNNNNNNNNNNNNNNNNNNNNNNNNNNNNNNNNNNNNNNNNNNNNNNNNNNNNNNNNNNNNNNNNNNNNNNNNNNNNNNNNNNNNNNNNNNNNNNNNNNNNNNNNNNNNNNNNNNNNNNNNNNUGUGUUGUUCUUGUAGUGUUCAAGAACUGCUGUGUUUGUAAGUAAUUGGUACUGUUUUUAGUGGAUUCCACCUUGGGGUAAGGUGAGACUGGACGUAGCUCUGUAUGAGUGAACCAGUAUAAAAACUUGUGUGCCUUUUCUUCUCAUCCCUGCACUCAUUUCUGGUUUUCCUUAAUUCUGUCAAGAACUAAAUCUGUUCUUUUGAAAUUGAAUCUGUUAAUUCUGGGUUUAAAUAAGAACUGUUCUUCCUGAUUUGUUAAAGCUUUCUCAUCUCAAACAAGGCAGUUGUAUAUGAUGGUCUAAGUGAUAUGUGAACAAACAAUCUAUUCAUUAAAAUCUGAGAAAGAAUCAUUCUCCUUAGAACCUUGUGUUGAGUAAAUUUGUUUGAUUUCUAAGCAUAGUUGUAUCCUUCAUCCUCAUAAUAUUCAGCUGAUCUGACUCUGUUAUAAUCUUCUAUUAAUCACAAUUUUAUAUUGAACAAGUUCAAAUUGUGCUAGACUGCUCUGAAGAAUCAAUCUGUUUCAUGUAAAAACAAUCUGUUCUUUUUGCCUCUCGUAUAUUGAAAAUUGUGUGCUCUUGCGAAAAUUUUAUAAGCUCAAUUCACCCCUCCCCUCUUGAACUUAGACACUAAUAGACCCAACACUUUCUAAUCUAAAACUAGUACAUCUGGACCUGGCACAAGUAGACGCAGAGGAAAUCUUUACUAUGGCACAAGUACAAUCUUGGGUGUGGAUGAAACAUAAAGAAAGGAAAGUUAACUUCUCUUUUUCUGAUUCGAUUUUGUCACCGCUAACUAGUAUUAAUAUGGUAACUAAGUAAGUUGAGUUUGAUGCAAUCUGUGUAAAUAUUUUAGGACAUAAAAGUAAAGCAUGUAAGGAUGAGCUGAACCAAUAUCUUAGCUUGAAUUAUUCAUAUCUUUUGGUUAUGGCAUUUUUUGUUUCUUUGUAUCAAUUGAGAGGGGAAGGAGGUAGGGUUCUGUGAUGCAGGUAAAUAAGGAGAGGAGCAGAGAAUAACAGGUAUCAAAGGAGAGACGGGCUGUCACAAUUGUUAAAACGAGGAAAAAGCAGUUAAGAAACUAUGAUGAAGGUGCUCGAAAGUUUAUGAAGGGAGGGUCAGGUGGGUGGCCUUCUUGAGUAAUAAAUGGUAGUAUUUGUUAGGAGUUUCUGCAGCCAGCAAAGUAAAAGGAAGACAGUAAGCGGUGGAAGGGAAAGUUGAAAGCACACGAAGAGAAAGAUGAGGUUAUGUUUAGAUAGAGCAUAGCAGUUUCUCAAGAGGACCAAAGGACGUCUGCUGGUAUAAAAGGGAAGUAAAAGGGAAGUAAAAAUUUAAGUAAUAUUUUAAUGAAUUAAUGUACAUUUAACUAUCUUUGAACACGGUGCAGUGGCUUUAAGCUGAAGGACCAAGUGACGUUUUGCUGGUAAGAUAACACUUUUUAUGUAGAUAAGGGAUAGGUUAGCCUCCCUACAACUCAAAGAUUAGGAGAUCGAAUGUUGAAGAGGGAAGAGAAGAUAAAGGUAGGAAAAGAAAUUGCAACAAUGAAAGGAAUAAAGUGUUCGAUAGAAGAAGACUAAGAGAAAAGAGGCCAAGCAUGAAAUUGAUGAACUGCUACUACACCCAUUCCCUAGGGCUAGGCCAAAAUAAAUUUUAAGGGGUCUGUGUAAUUGUUAUUUUGUUGAAUGGGCAGCACGUUAGUGGUUGGUAAGAGGGCCCUUGGAGUAAGGUUAAAGAUGCAAUCAAAUAUAAAGAGAAGCACACGGCUUACUGAGGCUACAAGAAGCACACGUUAUAUUCCUAAGCCUUUUCUUUCUUUCUUUUUUGUGUUAGAGAUAGAGCAGGUUUUAGAAAGCAAGGGUCUUCUUUGUGUUUAAAGGGAAGGGCUAUGCAAAGUGCAACCAAGGUCACUCAUGCCUUAUUCUAAGCUAAAAAAUGGUUGUUAAUCUUUCUCUUUUUUUUUUCUCUUUUCUUUUGUCUUGUAUACGGGUUGAGAUACCCCUAAAGUAUCUCUUUAAUUUAUUUUAUUCUUUGCCAAAAAACAAAAAAAAAACAUCUGGACCUGGCCUAGUGCAUCUAUGGCGAUUUUAAUGCGGUUAGAAGUCUAAAUGAAAGGAAAGGUGUUAGAGAAAGGGGAGACCAGUCAAAGGAGAUUAGUGUUUUAAUGACUUCAUUGAUAGGAAUCUCUUGAUGGGUGGUGGGUAAGAAGUAUACGUGGUUCAAGCCAAAUGGUCCAGCUAAAAGCAGGCUAGAUAGGGUGUUGAUUUCCAAUGAGUGGCUACAAAAGUGGUUUAUGAGCAACCGAGGGAGGUUUUAGAUCACAUUCUUAUAGUAGUGAAAUUAUUGGUCAAGGAUUGGGGUCCUAAGCGUUUUAGAACUAUUGAUGUGUGGCUUCUGAAGAUGGGUUUUAAAGACCUUGUGAAAGAUAAAUGGAUGUCAUAUACUAUACAAGGGAAUGGAAUCUCUAAACUUAAAGAUAAGCUUAAAAUGCUCAAAGCUGACUUGAAAGUUUGGAACUAUGAAGUGUUUAGGAAUUUAAACUCGAAUAAGGAAAGGAUUCUAAAGGAACUAGAGGAUCUUGAUUUUCAAAAUGCAAAUGGUGGUCUAAAGGGAAGUAGUAGGUCGAAAAGAAUAGAACUUAUUGGUAUGCUGGCGGUGAUAAACAAAAGGAUAGAUUCUCUUGUAAGUCAAAAGGUAAAGCAAACUGGAUUAAGCAUGGGGACUCCUGUUCAAGGUACUUCCACUCUACACUCAGAUGGAGAACACUUAGAAAUGAAGUUAAAUGUGUUGUGGUCGGAGGCCAUGGAUCAAGGAACUAGAGGUUGUUCGGAAAGAGGAGAAAAAGUUGUUUGAAGAAAGAUUUAUGGUAGUAAAAGACUUCGGGAUUCAACUUGGUGAGGUAGAGUUUAAAUCUCUAUCAAUGGAAGAUAAUCUUAGCCUUAUUGCUAACUUCUCUGAGGAAGAGAUACGAAACCGAUUUGGCAGUGCGAAGGGAAUAAAAGCCUUGGAUCGAAUGACAUUAAUUUCAACUUUAUCAAGAAGAGUUGGGAUGUUAUGAAAUGAGAGAUUGUAGCAGUGGUGAGGCAUUUUCAGGAAUCAGGUAAUAUACCGAAAGGGUGCAAUGCAUCCUUUAUAGACUUAGUCCCUAAAGUGAGUGACCCUUUAAAACUUGAGUAAUAUAGGCCAACUAGUGGGGGCACUUUAAAAAAUCAUUUCAAAGGUUUUAUCAAGUAGAAUCAAGUGUGUCUUACCCUUUGUUAUUGAUGAAAGUCAAUCAGCUUUUUUGAAGGACAAAGGGAUGUUAGACAAUGUUGUUAUGACAAAUGAAGUGGUGGAGGAUAUCAGGAGGUAUAAGGGACGUGGACUGUGCUUGAAGAUGGAUUAUGAGAAGGCGUAUGGCUCAAUAAGGUUGAAAUUCCUAUAUAAUAUGUUGCAAAGGUUGGGUUUCCAUAGUAAAUGGAUUAAUUGAGUUAGAGGAUGUUUGGAAUUUACUUCAAUAUAUGUGUUGGUCAAUGGGAUGGAGGAACUUAGACCAUUGAGAGGAUUGAGAAAGGCGACUCGCUAGUGCCAUUCCUUUUUAUUAUGGUAGCUGGAGACUUAGCAGGGUUAGUAAGACAAGCUUUAAAAGCUAAUAUGCUUUUAGGUGUGAAGAUUGGAAGGAAUGAGGUAAAGAGGUGUGUUUGCUACAGUUCAUGGAUGAUACCUUGAUCAUGUGCGAAGAUUCUCUUUACAAUGUGAUCACCAUUAAGGCUAUCCUUAGGGGAUACGAGCUUGCCUCAGGAUUCAAUAUCAACUUCCAUAAGUUAAAUCUAGCCAGCAUAAAUAUGGAGAGCAAGACCCUUGCGUGCUAUGCAAAAACUUUAAAUUGUAACUUGAUGAGAGUUCCUUUUAUGUAUCUGGUCUUGGAAAUAGGAGGUAAUCCAAGGAAGAGGCAUUUAUGGGAGCCAAUCCUAGAGAAAUUAAAAGCCAAGCUCUUUGCGUGGAAUGAGAGAUUUUUGUCUCUGGUAGGUAGAAUAUGUUUAAUUAAGUUGGUUUUUACAGUGCUUCCCCUUUUUUUCCUAUCCUUCUUCAAGGUUUCGAAAUCACAUUGCAAAAGUAUUUUAGUAUACAAAGGAGGUUUCUAUGGGGUUGGGGGGAUGAGAACAAAUCUAUACUGUGGGUGAGUUGGGAGAAAUUGUGUAUACCUAAACAAGAGGGCGGUUUGGGGUUCAAAGAUAUUCAAAAGUUUAAUGUUGCCCUGUUAGCUAAGUGGAAAUGGCAACUCGUGAGUGAAGAUGAAGGGAAAUGGAAAGAUUUGUUGGUCUCAAAAUAUGGCACGAAAGCAGGCAAUCUUAGGGUACAUGUUAAACACCAAUCCUGGUGGUGGACGGACUUGUCAAAGGUUUGCUGUGAGGGAGGAGAAGUAGGAUGGUUCCAAGAGGCUCUAAGAUGGAAAAUAGGAACAGGAGACAAAGCCGAAUUCUAGGAGGAUGUAUGGAUUGGUAACUGUAACCUCAAAACACUUUAUCCAAGAUUGUUCUCUUUAUCUACGGAUCACGGUCUAAAAGUGGGAGAGGUAGGGGUGGGAAGAAUCAGUAUGGCGUUGGCGCCUUAGGUGGAGGCGUGAAAGGUUUGAAUGGGAAUCUCUAUUUGAGGAUGAUUUGUAUUCAUAUAUAUCUAAGUCCUCUCUAAAUAGAGAGGUGAAGAAUAUUCAGGAGUGGGGGAGAGAGAAUCUCGGGUCCUUCUCUGUGAAGUUUGCGUAUGAUUUAAUUACUUGCUAUCACGCUAGCAGGCGGUACAAUGAGUUAUUCACUUGUCUAUGGAAGGUCAAAGCUCUACCCAAUAUGUUGACUACAACUUGGAGGGUCCUACUGGAUAGAAUCCCUACUAUAAUGUGUCUAAGUAGGAGAGGGGUUUUGGUUGACACUAUAUUAAGUGGUAUGUGCCGAGUUGAGGAUGAAUUGAGUCAGCAUCUGUUUCUAGAGUGCAAACACGCUCAAAGCGUUUGGUCCUUGUGUUUCAGAUGGAUAUGCAUCCUCUGAGUCCAGCAUAACGAUCUAAAGUGUCAUUUGAGAGUUUCCAUCUAGUUCAGGUCAACAACUAUAAAACCCUGGUCUGGAAAGGUACCUGGGCAACGUUAGUAUGGAGUAUCUGGGAACAAAGGAAUAAUGUUAUUUUCAAGCAAGGUGUAGUUGAUGUUGAAGAGAUAUUUCAGAAGGCACCCCUCAAAUAUUGGUUGUGACUAAAACACAAGGUACCCUUUUUUAAUCAAUCCUUUGUGGAUUGGGUUUUGAAUUCCCUCCCUUGCAUUAGAAGCCUCGGGUAACGAUAUGAGAGGGGUGGUUAGGAUUUUCGGCCAAGUUAAAAGUGUUAGGAUUGAUGGCUAGAACAAGAGGGGGGUGAAUUGUUUAUAAAAUAUUUUCUCAAAUACUUUCCUUAGAAUGAAUCUUUAACAACCAACCCAGAAAAGCAAUUUAGAAAGCCAAUCAAAUAGUCAAACAGAAACUGAUAUCAGAAUUAUAAUCGGUUAAAACUAUGAUUUAACCGGAUGUUUAUGACAACGGAAAUAUCAAACAGUUAUGGAGAGAAGAGAUAGAGAGAUUUACACACAAAGUUUAUACUGGUUGACUCAACCUUUGAGCUACAUCCAGUCCUCAGUCAAAACACUGAGUAAUCCACUAUGUAACCAAUCACAGAUUACAAACACACAUCACAAAGAGGUGACUUUGAAUCCCACAAAGCUUACUCACCCUCUUUGCACACAGCCAACACCUCAAUCCAGAAUCACACUGACUUUACAUGAUUUUACAAACAGUUUUACAGAGUGUAAUAUGAACAAUUAUAAGAAACAAAGCAAGGGUAGAAAACACCUGGAAUUACAGUACACCAGAAACCCUAUUGGUCAGUUCUUGAAUCACAACAAAGCCCAAAAGCAAUCUUGCUAAACUUGGAAAAACACCUUUUCACAAACAGUUGGUAAUCCUACCGUUAAACGCAAAUUUGAACAACUGAAUCAGUUAAAACAGGUUUUCAAAAUACUGUUAUGAAAACUCACAUUUAAUCGGUUAAAACUACGAUUUAAUCGGUUGAAUGGUUUUAGCAGUUAUACAACUAAUUCAAAAAACAGUUUCAAAACUCCUUUGUCAGCUAAGUGACAAACAUCUGAUUGUCUCGAAACUUUAAUUGGUUGUUUUUCCCUUUGCAUGGAAAAAUACUUUAAUCUUUAAAACAGAUUGAAAUAAGCUUUAUUUGAGAAUCAAGACUGAUCUUACAAAGAUUCUAAAUCCCAUAACAAAACUUAAGCCUAAAACACAACACAACUUCAGACUCCAUGAGGAUUUGAAACAUCAAAGCUUCCCAUCUUCAACAAAAAAAGGUAAAGAAGAUCCGGGAUGCCGCUUAUUUCGCAUAAAGCUUUAAUAUUGCCAAAGUUUGCAGUAGUUCCUGGAGUAGCAAGUAGAGGUGAAAUCAGGAUGAGGGCCUUACAGAAUUAUGGUCUGGCAGUGAAUCCUGGUUUUAGAAUAAUUGUGUUAAUCCUGAGCAGGGAAGUAAUAAGGACUUGCUUGUGUGGCUUUUUAUCGAAGAUGCUAUCAUGGGUAGAAGGCGUGACAUUACUCCUUUAUCGUUGACUGAGAUCACUCAUAUAAUUGAGCACGAUGUUUAAGAUAACUAAAAGUUAGUAUCCUUAUCUGGCAUUUUUUUAUAGAAGCUCUAAGAGGAAUCAUAUUUAUAAGUUAAUGCAGCAAAUAGACUUCCUCGUUAAGACCUUGUUCACUGCUGUUGUGAGCAAAGUGAAAGUGCACUUAUGCAGUAGUUGCUGACCUACUUUUGGUUAGUUGCAGAACCAAAGUAUUAGGGUGCUUCUUUGGUCCAGUAUUUGGAUUUGUAAAGGAGAAGCAGGGGUCACAUCUCUGUUCAUGUGGAGUAGCCUCACUCUGUUGGCCAAGGGGUGUUUUGCAGGUUCAAGGCAAAUUUUUGCAGCAUGUAAGGGAGUUUUGUAGAUUAAAUACAGAACUCUACAGUUACUAUGUAGUUUUUGGAGAAAGGAAGAUUUUGGAUGUUUAUCCUCCAGUAGAAGUAGCGUUUAGAGAUACUGUCAUGGGUUUAGUAAAUAUUUGAAUAUAGAUACUGUCAUGGGUUUAGUAAAUAUUUGAAUAUAGUCUAGUAACCAUAUGUAAAUACACACAGGGAACUGUAUGUAAAUGUAUAUGGAAAUGUAAAUUUGUAUGGUGAUUAUAUAAGUUGUUAGCCGUGUUGUUAGAUAGAAAAGAAAAUAAAUAAAUUGGAAAUGAAAUUUAUUAGUUAGAAGAAAAAGUAGAGAAAAAAAUUGUAAAAUUAUUUUAUUUUAAAGAAAAAAAAGUAACAUGAUCAUCCUUUUUUUUUAUAUCACUACAAAAAAAUCAUUAAAUUACAACUAAUUUUAGAGACCAAAAUAAUUAGUUACUAUUAGAUUAAAUUAAAAAUCAUUUUAGAGCCUACAAAAAUUAUUGAUAUCUAAAGUAGUUUUUAUUAUUAAUAAAAAUUUAUAGAAUAGUUUUAAAUUAAUAUCUAACCAUUAGCUACCAAGGUUUUAACUAGUAAUAUUUUAGAUUCUAAAGUAGUCUCUAAAAGACUAAUUGAGACCAAUUUAGAAUCUAAAAUAUUAAUAGCUAAAAUUUUAGUAGUUAAUUUAAAUACUAAUUUAAAAAUUAUUUAUAAUUUUUAUUAAUAAUAGAAACCACUUUAAACAUAAAUAAAUUUUUAGUAUCUAAAAUAAUAUCUAAUUUAAUUAAUAUAAUGACUAAUUAUUUUUUUUUCUAAAUUAAGUUGUUAUUUAAUAAAUUUGUUGUAGUAUAGGUAAUAGGUAAUCCUUACAAAGAAGCUAGACAAUGGAAUAAAAAUAAUGUAAUAUGUAUAUGAUUUUUGAAUUUGAUAAUAAUGUUUUUAAUUAAAAUAAAUUUAUCUCUAUUUAAUAGCAUGAUUAGCACAUGAUUAAUGUAACCCGGCCAUAAUUAAAUACAUGCAAUUAGUUUAAUUGUAUGCUACAUAAAUAUUUUUAUAUAAAAGAUAACACAAUUCAUGAUUAUGAGAUCAUUAAUAACACGAAUAGCAGGUGGGAGUUCAUCCAUCAUUUUGCACUUAUCAAUAUGAAUUAUAAAAGAAAUAAAAGACAGAAGCAAGUUGAUGAAAGAAUUAUUAAUCCAAAAUUAUCUUAAACUAAACCAUCAAUCAUAAUCUCAAACCCAUUUAUAGAAACUAAUUCUUUCUAUGAAUUCAAAUUUAACUAAUCUAUUAGUUCAAAAAACGUUUCUUCUAUGCACAGAAAGAAAAAGAAAAGAACUGCACAGAACUCACAUUCGUUGAACAUAAUAUUAUUAUACAUUGAUGCUUAUCACAUUCACAAAGAGCUGCAUAGAACUCUCAUGACAGAGAUGCUUGCUGCAUUAUUCAUGGUUCUUGCAAGCUACAAGAGUUGCACAUAACUCUCAUGCCUUCAACCUUAUUCUAUACAAAAGUACAACAUAAUUAAUACAACCUCAUACAAUUGACAUUAAAUAACUUGCUUGAGUUUUUCUGAAGGAACCCUAAGAGUUUGAGGAAAUGGUCUUCCUCCUUUUUUCAUAGAUUUUCGUUUCAGACGAUGCUGUCUUUCUCCAUACAGAAUAUCAGCAAGCCUUCAUAAAAACACAUAAAACCAUUCUCCUCAAAACCAGCUAAAAUAAAUAAUUGAGUAAACUAAAAGGUAAUUAAUUCAUAUUUUUUUCACCUGUCAAGAGCCUCAGCAUUUGUUCCGCCAGCUUCUUCUAGAUCUAAAGUAUCCAAAUUCAGCUUUACAGGUUUUUCUUGUAACAGAUGUUUUCCUAUCUCUUCAAGGCCGUCCAUGUUUUCUUUUGUAACAUUAACCAUGUUGUUGAAAUCAGGAUUCAAGUUGUAUUCCUGCCAUUGGUUACAAGAUUCAUCAAUAUAUAAUACAAAACUAUAAAUAUCUCUUAAGAAAAAUCAGUGAAAGAACAAAAGGAAUACAAGGCGUGGAAGAUAAGUGUCUCUUUCAUUUUAUGGUUAUUUUGAGUAAGAUGUUUUGGUACCUUUCACUAAGUACUCUUAUCUGUUUUUGGAAAGAUUUAUUGUAAUGAAUAAAGAUUUCUCUUUUAGUAUAAACUAUCUAGUUUUUAGAGUUAGGUGUAGCAGGAAAAGUGUUUGACUAAGAAAAAUGAAAAACUCUUGCUACCAAUAAAUAAAAAGAAAUACCUGAAUUCGAAGGUAGGUGCCGGGUUGAAUGUCUGAGAAGAGUGAAGCAAGGUAGUAUUCAGUAAUGAGUGAAGAAAGUCGAGGGAGAACACCGAGUAGAGGAGAAAUCCAAUCCCAAGGAAACCAUGUGGCAGCUGUCUGAGCAUCAAAGAUCUGCUCAAUUUUUGUUAUUCCAGUCCCUAAAGACAACACAAGGAUUUUUGGAUAUUCAUUGUGUCGUAACACUUCACUCACUGCUGCUUCUGUCUGCUCAAAUUAAACUUGAUAGUGUUAAACUAGUGACCUUGUAUCAUGCAUCAUAAUUCACAUCAAUAGUUUUAUGAUAUUUGUAAUCAAUAACUAAACUACUUUACCGGAUUCCCAGAUGCUGUACCACCACUAAUCAUAUUGAACUCAACACCAUCAUUCUCAAAAUAGUAGGGUGGUAGAAAUAUGGGUGCAGCUGAAGUGGAUAUGCAUAUGUCCGACAUCAAGGCAUUGAAGUAGGGAACAUUCUUCAGCUGCAUCACCAAAACAUUAUAUUAACUGGUGUUUGUUUAUUAAUGUAUGUGUUUCAUUUCAAUAUAAGCAUAUAUGCUGCUAACCUUGUAGUUUGAGAAUAUAACUGGCUUUCGUGUCUUGAUGUCGAAAGCUGGGAUUACAACAUUGGUGAUUGUCUGACUAAGUCGUGUGUCUCUCAACAGUUCACGAGUUAUGUUAUGUAAAGGCUCCCCAUCGAAUCUGGGACCGUGUCCAGGUCUGCAUGUUGGUUGUUUCAUCAUCAGAAAUUCAUCAGAAAUGAUGAUGUUGUGAGAAUAUUAAUAACAUUAUACCUAGAUUCAUUGAAUAUCUGAGGGCCAUUUUGUUUGUAGAACUCUACAAUUUCUGCAGGAGUAAAAGCAGGAAGAUUAGGAUGGUGAGGGCCUGAGGUGGCUAACAUAGCUGUUAUGAGUCCACCAGUGCCAUUCCCUCCUAUCACAUCAAAAUAAUGUACUAAUUCUGCAUUUGGAUCCUUAACCUGCAACACAACCAAAUUCAAAUUAGCCUCAUAAAUAUUCAUUCAUGCCAUUUCAAUACAUGCAUAGUAUUAACAACAGUAAUCAACCUUAAGAGCCUUAUCUAAGUAAUCAAGAACUGUUGCUGGAAUAAUCCCCUUGAUACCACCACCAUCAAUUGUCAGAAUAGUUAUCAUGUUUCCAUACUCUGAUGGAGGUAGUUUUUGGGCACUCAAUCCACCAAUCAGUUGCCCACCAAACACCAAAACAAAAAACAAAACCAAAUGAUGAGCCAUCAUUUGCUUCACAAGAAUAUUGUACUGAAUUAGUGUGUUUUGUUCUCAAAUGGGGUAAGGCUAUUUAUAGAAAUAUUUUCGAGGAUACAUGCAAGUACCAUGAUUAAACAAAUCUUUUUUUAUACAUUUUUUUAACAGCAAGAUGUUUUUUUAUGCAUGAUAAUGCCUUUCAUUGCUUACUCAAUCUUUGGAGUUUUCACUGCUUUCAAAGGAGAGGAUAAUGUAAUAAAAUCCACUCUCCAUCCUCAUCNNNNNNNNNNNNNNNNNNNNNNNNNNNNNNNNNNNNNNNNNNNNNNNNNNNNNNNNNNNNNNNNNNNNNNNNNNNNNNNNNNNNNNNNNNNNNNNNNNNNGUAUCUAGUUCAUAAUACUACCAAUUACACAUAUAGACACUACUUUUUUAUUAUAUAUAUAUAUAUAUAUAUACAAACAAAGGAAUGGAAUAAUUAAAUUGUCCCAAUCCUUAUAUAAAACAAAUAUAUACAAAACAAAAUUGGCCAUAAAAGUAUUUCCUACCAAAAAAUAGUCUAUUUCUUUCACUUACUUUACAUAUCAGCAAACCUCAAAAUAUGCCGCACAAAAAAACAUUUAAUUGAUCACAAUAUGCUCUCUUUUGUUCCUAAGAAAUAACCGUGUAGAUUUAUUGCCCCUAGAUUAUAUUGUCUUCAAAACUAAACAACUUCAUACAAAUAUCUUCCUUUCCUUAUAGAAUUAUUAAAGAUAAACUACUAAUUAAUUUGAACAAGAAUUACUAAGGACAAACUACUAACUUUAACAUGUGUAAUGUCCUUCUAACUACAAUAGUGAAAAUAAAUGGUUUUAGAAUCGAAAAAAAAUCAAUAUUAAAGUGUGAUUAACAUUCCUCUUAUAUAUGUUUGUCAAAAAGCUUAAAAUGUAUGUCUCAAAGUCAUUGAAUCUUGCAGAAACACUAAUAGCGUCGACCUAACAUAUGUAAAUUGAAUGAGCAAUACUUAAUAAGAUAAUGAUACGAUCGACUAGGCCGAUACUAUCUAAAUGAAAUAUAAAAAAUUAAAACAUUUGCAUCGAUCUAGCUGACACUAUACAAAAUUAAAAUAAAAAGUUGAUUUUAAAGUAGGUCAAGGCGAUGUUAAUUGGUAGAAAAAAAUUGGUAGUUUUGGUUAAGUCAACACUAGGUGUGGUGAAAAAAAAAAGUUCAAUUUAAAAGUAUUUCCAAUCCUUUUUUAAAUUUGAAACCUACUUAUAUCAAUUAUAAAUGCAAAACUCAAAAUCAUUCCAAACUCAAUGUUAAUUAUAAUUAAAAAUCCAAAUCCAAAUUCAAUAUCAAUAUCUAAAUCUAGUUUGGAAGAUUAGUUAACAUAUCAAUGUUCACAAUUACUCAAGCAAAGAACUCCACCAACAUUAUAUAUGUGUGUUUUUUUAUAUAUAUGAGGUUAAAGGAUAAACAUAAAAGAGUAGGAAACAUUAUUGAGAGUCUAUUUAUAGUUAUUUGUACUAAUUACAACUUAGUUAUGUGAAUCUUGUUUUUUUUUUAUCAACAAGAAAUAAUAAAUAAAUAUAGAUUAUUUAAGGGGUGACUCAACCCUUAUACAAGAAAAAGAAAAAUAAGAUAGGACGUCACACCCCCAACUUAUUCCAAGCCCCCAACAAAAAUUACCAACUAACCCUUAUCUCAAAAAUAUCACAUCCAAAGAAGUCCACUCUUAAUAAAAGUCAUAGUGCACGAACACAUCAAACUCCAAAAAACAUAAAGCAUAAGCAAACCAUCAAACAUAAACCGCCAAAAAUUAGAGUAAAUUAUUAAAAAUUCUCUUUACAAAUAACACAAACAACUGAAUAUAUCACUAUCUCAACAAAACUCAUAUGUAUUUCUUUUCACAUCACAAAUGCGUCUGCUUAGAAUCUCCAUAUCCAAAAAUAAGAGACAAAUGCUCUUGAUGAAAAUCAAUCCCUAAUUACUCCACUUAGAAGGACAGAUUGCUUAAGAUCAUUAUGCAAAACACACAACUCUUCCUUCCUAAAACAAGGACUUAGAAACACAUACUAAAAUAAAAGAAACAAAUCUAUUUCAUAAUUUUCAUGCAUAUCAUAGGUUCUACACCAAUAAAAAUAAUUAAACUUUGCAACUUUUUUUUUACUUGUAAAUUUGAUAAUAAUAAUAAUAAUAAUUAUUCCCGUUAAAAUAAAUUCAUCUCUAUUUGAGUUGUUAAUUAAUUAAUAGCAUGAUUAGCACAUGAAUCUAAUUAAGCCGCCCAUGAUUAAAUGCAUGGAAUUGGUUUAAUUGUAAGUUACAUUUUUUAUGCAUAAAAGAUGAAACACAAUGAAUGAUUAUGUGAUGAUAACACGAAUAGAACAUGGGAAUUCAUCCAUCAUUUGCUACUUAUUAAUAUGAUGAAUUAUAAAAAAAAUAAAACAUAGAACCAUACAAACGUUAUCUUUUAUGUAAUCUAUUCGUACAAACGUUGUCUUUUAUGUAGGUAUGGGAUGACUAGAAAACGCAUAGAGAAAAUAAAUGUUACCAUUUAUUGCAUGUGUGAAGUAUUAGGAGUUGGUUUUGUACCUAACGCUUACGUAUUAUUAAGUAGAGUUAGUCAGAGUGAUAACUUAAAAAGGAGAGCCAUUAUACGUAUACAAUCAAAUUUUAUAUUUAUAUAAUUUAUAUUUGGAUUAAAAAAUCAUGUACCGUCUAAUCAUAUUAUACGUAUACAAUCAAAAUACAAUAUAAUCAUGCACCGUCUUCACAUUUAAUCCAACAUAUACAUAUAAAAUUUGAACUCAAUAGGUUAUUUUAAUACUCCAAAUUAUUUUAUUUUUAAUUAUUGAUAAAAAAUCAAUAUGUAAAGUUAUCCAUAAUAAUUUAUAUAUAUUUUUUUUAUAAAAAAUUUUAUGUUAAGUAUUACUAUGCACAUCAGUUAGGCUAACAUCUCAAGUAACAACAAUCAUCGGUCAUCACAUAAAAUAAAUAUUAUUAAAAAAAAGAAAGAAAAUACAAAAAAUAUAUGGCGGAACUAUACCAAAACUCAUAUGUUAACAAAAACGAUACAUAGGUAAAUUAUACCUAUUUAUAAAAUUCUAAGAACAGACUAGAUGGAAGUCUAUUAUAUUAAUGAAAUGAUUCUCUAUGAAUAAAUCUUAAAUCAGCACACACAGUUAUAAAAUAUGAGUAAUCCUAAACCUUAUUUUCCCACAGUAAUUAAGACAAGUAUUUCAUCGAUUACGAAGCAACCAUGGAACAUUAGUCCUAGCAGUAAACGCGGCAAAAACCAAGGCAGAAUCACAUUUAAGCUAUACAUUAGUAAGCCCCAUCUUUUGAGCUUCCUCCAUAGCAUGUAUAACUCUAUAAAACUCAACAACCAUAGAAGUCUAAACUUCAAGAAACGCAGAGAAAACACCGAUAAACUCUCCCAUACUCCCACGAAAAAUACCUCCACAAGUAGUAAGACCAGAAUAUUCUCUAGCAGCCCCAUCAAUGUUAAUUUUAACCCAGCUUGGUGAAGGGAACUCCCAUUUAACAGGAAAAGAUGAAGAACUUUACUAGUACGAAUAUUAAUACCAAAAAACUUAAUCAUGUUGAAAUCCAACAUAUCAUUCUUCAUUGAAACUUUAGACGAAUUUCCCACUAGACAAGUUAAAUCUUUAAUAUUAUAUUUAUAUUAAAUAAUAAUAAUAAUAAUAAUAAUAAAACGUGAUAAUGGUUGAUGAAGUUAUUAAUAACAAUAAAGUAUAAGAAUUAAAAUAAUCAGUAUUUAGUAAUUGAAGAUGUAGUCAUUACAAGAAAAAUCCAUUUUAGCUACCAACAAAAAGUGGGGGCUAAAAAAAAGAAGUCACUAGUAUGGGUGAAGUCUACUCAAGUUGGACACAAAAAUAAAUGUCAAAUAUUAUGUCCACAAUGGAGACCUUUAACUCACACUAAAAAUUAUUAAAAUAAUAAUAAUAAGUUAGCAUCUAGAAUGGGGACACAAAGUAGAUCCAUAAAAAAUAAGUUGCAGAAUGGUACUGUAUCGAGAAUGGGGACACAAAGUGGAUGCAAGUUAAUAUUUUAUUACAUUUAGCGUAGAUCUAUGUGACACUAAGGUGACAUGGACAUUUAUUGUAACCUUAGCCCACACUAUAAGUUAUUUAAUCAGAAGACAAAAAAAACCUUAAAACAUUUUUGUCUCACAUUUUCAUCUUCUCACACUUUAAAUUUCUCAUUCCUGUCUCACACUUUCAAACUCAUAAUCCCGAAAUUCCUCCUAAAACCCUACGUCUUCUUCAUGGUCAUUUCACUCUCCUUAAUUUUGUUUUUCGUUUUUGUCUUUGUGGUCAUUUCACUCUCCUUAAGUGCAUUUUACUCAUUUAUUUCCUAGGUAGUGUCCCCAAUAGCGACAAUUUACUCACAUUUGCUUUCUCACGCAGUAUCCCCAACGACGACGCUAAGUUUAAUUAUUGUAGGAGAUCCCACAUUGCCUAAAGAUUAGGACAUUACAUAGUAUAUAAGUGGAUGCAAACCUCACCUUAUAAGUCGGUUUAUGAGGUUGAGUUAGGCUUAAAGUUCACUUCUUAACAUGGUAUAAGAGUCAUUUCGAGCCUAUCUUAGCGAUUGUUUAUUGGGCCUAUCAGAACACCCACUACCAGGCCGCUAUCAACCACCCAUAAUAUAUAGUCUCACGCACAAAUUGGUAGCCUCGUGUGAGGGGGGUGUGUUGGAGAUCCCACAUAGACUACAAAUUAUGACAUUUUAUAGUAUAUAAGUGGGUGCAAACCUUACCUUAUAAGUCGGUUUUAUGAGGUCGAGUUAGGCUUAUAGUCCACUUCUUAACAUGGUAUCAAAGUUAUUUCGAGUUUAUCCUAGCGAUUGUUUGUUGGGCCUAUCCAGCCACCCGCUAUCGGGUGGUUAUCAGACCACCCAUAAUAUAUAAUCUCACGCACAAGUUGGUAGUCUCGCGUGAGGGGGUGUGUUGGAGAUCUCACAUCAAUUAGAGAUGACGACAUUUCAUAGAAUAUAAGUGGGUCCAAACCUCACCUCAUAAGUCGAUUUUAUGAGGUUGAGUUAGGCUUAAAGUCCACUUCUUAACAUGGUAUCAGAGCCAUUUCGAGUCCAUCCUAGCGAUUGUUUGUUGGGCUUAUCAGACCACCCACUAUCGAGUCAUUAUCGGACUAACCACAAUAUAUAGUCUCACGCAUAAGUUGGUAGCCUCGUAUGAGAGGGUGUGUUGGAGAUCCCACAUCGACUAGAGAUUAUGACAUUUCAUAGUAUAUAAGUGGGUGCAAACCUCACCUUAUAAACUAGUUUUAUGAGGUUAAGUUAGGUUUAAAGUCCACUUCUUAAUAAUUAUUUAAUUUUAUAUUCAUUUUAGUGUCCCCAAACCUAUGCUAUAGUUAAAUAAUAUAUUUUUCUUUAUGUAGGCUUAGCCAACACUAUCUUAUAAAUUUGUGUCCCAUUGGAGGUUGUCUCUAAUGCAUAGCCACCAAAAUAUUACUUCCAUUUGGGUAAUUUUCUAAAAUCCUUUUUGUUUCUUAAUACUUUAUGAAACCCUAUUUAUUGUACAUGGUGAGAAAGCCAAUUUUCCUAGUCCUUUAGAAUUUAACCACUUAAGGAGAAUACCAAACUCUUCAUAUUGUUGAAUUCUUCUAUUUGCAUAUUAAGCCAUGUAAUUGCCUAAAAAAAUCAUUGUUUGGACCUUCCAAAUUAUUUAUAACUACAACUUGUUAUGUUGGUGUAUACUUAUAGGCAAGUAUUUAUUGUUCUUUUUAGUUAUCCUCCAUUAGGAUUCAAAAUCAUGAUAUUAUAAAGACACAACAAAUCAGGCUAUCUUUCUUCCUGCAACUUUCCACUCCCACAUGAAUUGCCUUUGUAUUUCACAAUUUAUGGGACUAUCUUUUUGAAUGCUCUAAAAAAGCAUAUGAAAAAAUGUGGGACUGAAUGAUAUAACAAAAAUUAUAAGGCAUAUUCUACCACUAUAUGUUAAGCUUUUCCUUUUCCACUAAGCAAGCAUUUUUCUAAUCUUAUUUAACACAGUGACCACAUCUUACAUCUUCUAAGGUUUUCACUAGUUAGGAUUCCUAUAUAUGUAAAUGGCAUAGACAUUUUUUGUUUUGAUCAACAAAGAAUAAAAUGAAUUAAAAUGGAGCAUUUCAGAGAUUUUAGGGAUGUUCCAACCCUUAUAGAAAAGUACCAUAUGUUAUAAGCCAUACAAACCAAAGAUACACCAUUUAAGCAAAGACAAAAUGCUAUAAAAACAUAUUAUAUUUACCUUGUAUUAUUUCUACUAGAUAUAAGUAAAAGCAUAUCUAAACAUUCUUAUUGCCUAUUACCUAGCCAUUUAUGUGUAAUGCAUCAUCAAAAGUUGUCUAAACAACUCCUCUAAUACUUCUUUGCGCCAAUUUGUUGCACCUCAAUGAAUUCUUUCCUUCUCUUAGAAAGAUUUGUGCAUAAUGUACCAUAGAACUAAAAAAGAUCCUUGUUGUGCUUAAACCUUCGUAAUAAAACUUCACCUUGUUACAAUACUUUAUUCCUAACAACUCUUUCCUCUAAAGCCUCUUCCAAUGUUCUUGGGAACCUACAAUAUAACCUCAAUUACCAUAUGCCUGCAAUAAUAGAACAAAAACUUUUUCCCUCCUUGGCUAAGGAGUAAGUCAAUUCUUUUAAACUUAACCAAUUAACCUCCACAUAAACUGCAAAAGCAAAAUUAUGUAAAACAACUCAUAAAACCAGAGCUUAACUUACCCAACAUUAUACUUCACACAAAAGGACCCCAAGCAUUGUUGAAUUGGACAAUAUGACAACAUCUAGAAUUGUUCUUUGUUUCAAAGUGAUUGAAACCCUGUUUCUAUUAGGUCACACGAUCACAUCUCCUCAAAGUUCUCAUUGCGGCAGUACCUUAAUCCUCUCAUACUCUUCUAAUCCCAUAACAGAAUCAUGACACAAGUCCUCCAUUUUAUGUGAUUCCAAUCUGCCUUCAAUUCCAAUAUCUUUUUUCCCUUAAAAUUCCCCCAUCUGCCACAAACUUCUAACAUAUGCCACAGUGCCCAUGUCCUGAAAUCACGUUGUUCCUCUUCAACUCACCAUCACUGUGGCUCAACUGCUCUUGGAGCCCCAUAGGGAUUGUUCUACUACCUCUUAGACUUAUCACCCAUGUACAUUGCUGGUAGGAUACCUUCGUAGACCUUGCAUAUUUUGUUUACCUCCUUCUUUCUAUUUCCAUCUUCUGUUUUUAUCCUCAAGUUGCCUCUUGUCAAGCAUCUAUUUCUUUCCCAUCUGUACAACAAUAGUGAAAACCCUUAAGAAACAUCUGUUUAGGACUAUAAUAGUUUUACAUAAACUAAUCUUUACUACCUCACACAUAGAACUUUAAGCUUGUGAGUCAUACAGAAGUUCCUACUAACCUAUAGAAUACAAACAGUUUAGAGGAUAAAGCACCCAAUCAGAAAAAGCAAAAUUGAAUUUGUUAUCUUCCUCUUCAUUCAUGACCAAGCUUGUAGUUGUGCUAGACUAAGAAUUUCAUAUGGAUCCACUUUCUUUCCUUUAAAAACCACCCCAUUUCUUUGGUUCCAAAUGCUCCAUAAAACUACUACCCACAUGCCUUUCCACACACGAUUUCAUUUUGCAUUAAAUUGUUGUAAAAAAAACUGGAUCAAAUGUUGCUUGAGAUCAUUGUAAUACAUUAUGUUCCCACCCACUUGGAUACCGUCAACCAUACAAAAUGGCACAAACAUAGUUGAACAAUUAAGUAUUACCACAUUUUGUUGUCAUUGUUUUUUACUAACCCCUGUCCCUCCCAUCUUACUCAUGAAAAUUGACUUUCAAUCCUGAUAGCAACUCAAAAGAUCUUAAUAAUUUCUUAUAAUUUCUUCAACGUGAACAUUUUGAGUUUUAUUUUCACAUAUAAGUUUGGUUGGGUUGCUUGCUUUUUCGUUAGUAUAGUAGGUUUUUGGCAAGUUGUAAGGGAAAUUGUGGAGGUUAUUGUAUUCUGUUCUAUAUAAGGAUUGAAUUACCUUUGAAGUGAUUUAUAUUUUUUUUACUGAUAAAAAAAUAACAUUAUGACAACUAAUUGCACAUCUUCUUAUAUGAAUUGAAACGAUCAAUCUUUCUGCAAAAGUUGUUGGAAAAUCGCUCACCCCAUCAAAUUUGCAUUUUUAUCAUUUUUCUUUUCUAAUUUAAUACAAAAUGCUUUCUCUUUAUUAAUUGCUUCGAAAGAAAUGUAUUCCAUGCAUUGAGAACACUAAUCAAACUACGUGCAAUGUCAUGCAUGUAGCCCCAAUAAAUCAAACAAAUUUGUCCAAGCCCCUGAAGAUGGAAUUGAGCAAAUGCCUUAUGGAUAACCUCACUUUAGGACCAAUUAUUAAGGACCAACUACUGUCGUCCUAAUAAUAGAUGCAAAUUGGAUGAGCAAUAUUUAGUAAGAUAAUGAUACAAUGGACUAGGCCGAUGCUACCUAAACAAAAUAUAAAAAAAAUAAAAUAUUUGCAUCGGUCUAGCUGACACUAUACAAAAUUAAAAUAAAAAAAUUGAUUUUAAAGUAGGCCAGGGCGAUGUUAAUUGAUAGAAAAAAAAUUGGUAGUGUUGGUUAAACCAACACUAAGUGUGGUGAAAAAAAUUCAAUUUAAAAAUAUUUCCAAUUAUUUUUUAAAUUUGAAACCUACGUAUAUCAAUUAUAAUGCAAAACUCAACAUCAUUCCAAACUCAAUGUUAAUUAUAAUUAAAAACCCAAAUCCAAAUUCAAUAUCAAUUAUCAAUAUCUGAUUUGGAAGAUUAGUUAGCAUAUUAAUGUUUACCCACCAAUAUUAUAUAUGUAUGUCACCAAUAUUAUAUAUGUGUGUUUUUUUAUAUAUAUGAGGUUAAAGUGUAAACAUAAAAGAGUAGAAAACAUGAUUUGAGAGUGUAUCUUAUAGUUGUUUGUUCUAAUUACAACUUAGUUAUGUGAAUCUUGUUUUUUUUUUAUCAACAAGAAACAAUAAAUAAAUAUAGAUUACUUUGGGGUGACUCAAUCCUUAUAAAAAAGAAAAAACUUAUUCCAAGCUCCUAACAAAAACUACCAACUAAUCCUUAUCCCAAAAAUAUCACAUCCAAAGAAGUCCACAAUUGACAAUAGUCAGAGUGCACCAACACAUCAAACUCCAAAAAACAUAAACAAACCACCAAACAUAAACCGCUAACAAUUAGAAGAACUUAUUAAAAAUUUCCUUUAAAUAACACAACAACUGAAUAUAUCACUAUCUCAACAAAAUCCAUAGGUAUUCCUUUUCACAUCACAAAUGCGCUCGCUUAGAAUCUCCUUAUCCUAAAAUAAGAGACAAAUGCUCCUGAUGAAAACCAGCCCCUAAUUACUUCACUUUGGAGGACAAAUUGACCUAGAAAGACAUACUAAAAUAACAUAAAUAAAUCUAUUUCACAAUUUUCUUAGAGGUUAUAGCACCAAUCAAAAUAAUUGAACUUGGUAACUUUUUCUUUACUUGUAAAUUUGAUAAUAAUAAUAAUUACUCCCAUUAAAAUAAAUUUAUCUCUAUUUGAGUUGUUAAUUAAUGAAUAACAUGAUUAGCACAUGAAUGUAAUUAAGCCGCCCAUGAUUAAAUGCAUGCAAUUAGUUUAUUAGUUUAACUGUAAGUUACAUUUUUUAUACAUAAAAGAUGGCACACAAUUAACGAUUACGUGAUGAUAACACGAAUAGGACUUGGGAGUUCAUCCAUCACUUGCUACUUAUUAAUAUGAAUUAUAAAAAAAAUAAAACAUAGAACCAUACAAACGUUAUCUUUUAUGUAAUCUAUUCAUACAAACGUUGUCUUUUAUGUAAGUAUGGGAUGACUAAAAAAAGCAUAGAGAAAAUAAAUGUUACCAUUUAUUGCAUGUGUGAAGUAUUAGGAGUUGGUUUUGUACCUAACCCUUACGUAGUAUUAAGUAGAGUUAGACAGAGUGAUAAUUUAAAAAGGAGAGCCAUUAUACGUGUACCAUCAAAUUUUAUUUAUAUAAUUUUUAUUUGGAUUAAAAAAUUAUAUUGAUAUAAUCAUGCACCGUCUAAUUUAAUACCAAUCAUGCACCGUCUUCACAUUUAAUCCAACAUAUACAUACAAAAUUUGAACUCAAUAGGUAAUUUUAAUACACUAAUUUAUUUUAUUUUUUAUUAUUCAUAAAAAAAUCAAUAUGUAAAGUUAUCCAUAAUAAUAAUAUUAUAUUUUUUUUAUAAAGCUUUUAUGUUAAGUAUUACUAUGCAACUUGAUAUCUCAGCUAGACUAACACCUCAAGUAACAACAAUCAACGAUCAUUACAUAAAAAAUAUAUUAUUAAAAAAAAGAAAAUAUAAAAAAAAUAUGGGAAGACUAUACCAAAACUCAUAUGUUAACAAAAACGAUACAUAUACCUAUUUAUAAAGAAUUCUAAGACAGACUAGAUGGAAGCCUAUUAUACCAAUGAAAUGAUUCUCUAUGAAUAAACCCUAAAUUAGCCAACUUAUCAACACACACAUUCCCUUUACAAAAAAUAUGAGUAACCUUAAACCUUAUUUUUCCACAGUAAUUAAAACAAGUAUUUCAUCAAUUACAAAGCAACCAUGGAACAUUAAUCCUAGCAGUAAACGCGGCACAAACCUAGGCAGAAUCACAUUCAAGCUAAACAUUAGUAAGCCUUAUCUUUUGAGCUUCCUCCACAACAUGUAUAACUCCAUAAAACUCAACAACCAUAAAAAUCUGAACUUCAGGAAACGCAGAGAAAACACUAAUAAAAUCUGUCAUACUCUCACGAAAAAUACCUCCACAAGUAGUAAGACCAAAAUAUUUUCUAAUAGCCUCAUCAAUGUUAAUUUUAACCCAGCUUGGUGAAAGGAACUCUCAUUUAACAGGAAAAGAACGAAGAACUUUAUCUGUACGAGUAUUAAUACCAAAAUCUUAAUCACAUUGAAAUCCAACAUAUCAUUUUUCAUUGAAGCUUUAGACAAAUUUACCACUAGACAGUUAAAUCUUUAAUAUUAUAUUUAUAUUAAAUAAUAAUAUUAAAACGUGAGAAUGGUUGAUGAAGUUAUAUAUAACAAUAAAGUAUAAGAAUUAAAAUAAUCAGUAUUUAGUAAUUGAAGAUGUAGCCAUUACAAGAAAAAUCCAUUUUAGUUGCCAACAAAAAGUGGGGCUAUAGAAAAAAAGUCACUUGCAUGGGUGAAGUCUACUCAAGUUGGACACAAAAAUAAAUGUCAAAGAUUAUAUCCACAAUGGACCUUUAACUCACACUAAAAAUUAUUAAAAUAAUAAUAAUAAGUUAGCGUCUAGAAUGGGGACACAAAGUAGAUUGAAUAAAAAAUUAAGUUGCAAAAUGAUACUGCGUCGAGAAUGGGGACACAAAGUGGAUGCAAGUUAAUAUUUUAUUAUAUUUAGCGUAGGUCUAGGUGACACUAAGAUGACAUGGACGUUUAUUGUCACCUUAGCCCACGCUAAGUUAUGUAAUGAGAAAAGAAAUAAAACAUUAAAAUAUUUUUGUCUCACAUUUUCAUUUUCUUACACUAUAAAUUUCUCAUUCCUUUCUCACACUUUCAAACUCACAAUCCUGAAACUCCUCCUAAAAACCCUACGUCUUCUUCUUAGUCAUUUCAUUAUCCUUAAUUUCGUUUUCCGUUUUUGUCUUCAUGGCCAUUUCACUCUCUUUAAGUGCAUUUUACUCAUUUAUUUCCCAGGUAGUGUCCCCAAUAGCCACAAUUUACUCACAAUUGCUUUCUCACGCAGUAUCCCCAACGACGACACUAAGUUUAAUUAUUGUUGGAGAUCCCACAUCGACUAAAGAUUAGGACAUUACAUAGCAUAUAAGUGUAUGCAAACCUCACCUUAUAAGUCGGUUUAUGAGGUUAUCAGGCUGAAAGUUCACUUCUUAACAUGGUAUCAGAGCCAUUUCGAGUCUAUCUUAGCGAUUGUUUGUUGGGCAUAUCAGGACACCCGCUACCAAGCCGCUAUCGAUCACCCAUAAUAUAUAGUUUCACGCACAAAUUGGUAGCCUCACGUGAGGGGGGUGUGUUGGAGAUCCCACAUUGACUAGAGAUUAUGACAUUUUAUAGUAUAUAAGUGGGUGCAAACCUUACCUUAUAAGUCGGUUUUAUGAGGUCGAGUUAGGUUUUAUGAGGUCAAGUUAGGCUUAUAGUCCAUUUCUUAACAUGAUAUCAGAGCCAUUUCGAGUCUAUCCUAGCGAUUGUUUGUUGGGCCUAUCCAACCACCCACUAUCGAGUUGUUAUCAGACCACCCAUAAUAUAUAGUCUCACGCACAAGUUGGUAGUCUCAUGUGAGGGGGUGUGUUGGAGAUCCCACAUCGACUAGAGAUGAUGACAUUUCAUAAUAUAUAAGUGGGCGCAAACCUCACCUCAUAAGUCGAUUUUAUGAGGUUGAGUUAGGCUUAAAGUCUCCUUCUUAACAUGGUAUCAGAGUCAUUUCGAGUCUAUCCUAGGAAUUGUUUGUUGGGCUUAUCAGGUCACCCACUAUCGAGUCGUUAUCGGACCACCCAUAAUAUAUAGUCUCACACAUAAGUUGGUAGCCUCGCGUGAGAGGGUGUGUUGGAGAUCCCACAUCAACUAGAGAUUAUGACAUUUCAUAGUAUAUAAGUGGGUGCAAACCUCACCUUAUAAGGUAGUUUUAUGAGAUUAAGUUAGGCUUAAAGUCCACUUCUUAAUAAUUAUUUAAUUUUAUAUUCAUUUUACUGUCCACAAACUUACAUUGUAGUUAAAUAAUAUAUUUUUCUUUAUGUAGGCUUAGCCAACACUACCUUGUAAAUUUGUGUCCCAUUGGAGGUCGUCUCUAAUGCAUAGCCACCAAAAGAUAAUUUCCAUUUAUAUUGGGAUGCAAAGCGCACACUAGCACCAUGUAUCGUCUCUCUUUUGCUCUUUGCAUCGCUCUUUUGGAGACUCUACCAUCAUUAUUUUUUGUAGUGAACAUAGAUUUAAUCGACGUUUAAUGAUGAGAUAUAAUAAAAAAUAAAAAAUAAAAAAUUGAUGAAGUCAUUAUGAACUUCACUAAUGCAAGGUAAUUAAUUUUUAAUGACGGGACAUGUUGCAUUGACUUGACCAACACUUGAUCCACUUUUAAUAAAAAAAAUACAAUGUAACUAAUUCUUUAGUUUUCCUUCUUUUUCUACUUUUUUUUCCCCGGUUCUCUCCUUUUUACCUCUAUCGCCAAUGGAGCAAUCCCUCAAUCUUGGAUUCAUGGUAUUGUUGCUUACCAGUGAUCUUCGAUUCGUAGAAAUUUGUUGGGUAAUUUUCUAAAAUCCUUUUGUUUCUUAAUACUUUAUGAAACCCUAAUUAUUGUACAUGGUGAGAAAGCCGAUUUUCCUAGUCCUUUUGAAUUUAACCAUUUAAGGAGAAUACCAAACUCUUCAUAUCGUUGAAUUCUUCUUUUUGCAUAUUAAGCAAUGUAAUUGCCUAUAAAAAUCAGUGUUUGGACCUUCCAAAUUAUUUAAAACUACAAUUUGUUAUCUUGAUGUAUACUUAUAGGCAAGUAUUUGUUGUUCAUUUUAGUUAUCCUCCGUUAGUAUUCAAAAUCAUGAUAUUAUAAAGACACAACACAUCAGGCUAUCUUUCUUCCUUCAGCCCUCCACUCCCACAUGAAUUGCCUUUGUAUUUUUUACAGUUUAUGGCACUAUCUUUUUGGAUGCUCUAAAAAAGCAUAGGAAAAAAAAUGUGGGAUUGAAUGAUAUAACAAAUUUUAUGAGGCAUAUUCUACCACUUUUUUUUUUCUCAGCAAUGAAUAAAAUAAAUUAAGAGAGGUACUUCAGGAGUACCUCAACCCAUUUGCAGAUCCAAGUUCCUUACAUCAUCCUUGAAAAAGUUUCAAAAACAAGAACCUAUUAGUAACCCAAACAUAUUACACAGUAAAAAAAGUGUCCAAUACUCCCAUACAACACCACACGUAUCACCCAUCAACCAUAAUUCUCUGCUCCAAAAGGGGGUUCCAGAACAUGGCCUUACGUACCUGAAUUCACCACUAAGAAAGAAUAACAAUACAACACUAGUCUCAGCAGUGCCACCACUUGUCCCCACAUUAAAAAGCCAACACAACACCAUAUUCUACCACUAUAUGUUAAGCUUUUCCUUUUCCACUAAGCAAUCAUUUUUCUAAUCUUAUUUAACACAGUGCCCACAUCUUACCUCUCCUAAGGUUUUUGUUAGAAUAUAUGGCCUUAAACGAGAGGGGGGUGAAUUGUUUAAGAGGGGUUUUUAAAAACUUUUCUAGUUUGAACAAAAUCCUAUGUGUGAAUCUAGAUCAGAAUUUCAGUUAGCCAAGAAUUUAAGCACAAAACAGUAAAGCACCAGAAAAACAAUCGUUUGUUUCUGAGAAACAAUCGGUUGUUUAUACUAGUAAAGCAAUAACAACUGAAUUUAAAAGAGUUUAAGGGAAAAAAGAGAUACACCAACAGUUUAUACUGGUUCACUCUUAAACCAAAAGCUACAUCCAGUCCCCAAAAGCCACUGGGUAAUCCACUAAGCAAUCAAAACAGAUUACACACAAACCACCAAAGUAGUGACCUUGAACCCUUCAAGAAACAUACUCACUUUAGCACAACAAACACCAAGAGUAUUGAUCUUGACCACCUCAAGAACACACAACACUCAUUGACAAUAACACUAGAAUUACAGAAGAUUCAUAAAGAAUUACACUUGUUUACAGAACAAUCUGAAAUCAAUACAAAUGCAAUCCUAUUCCACUCUUUCUUCAUAAAACCCAAAGCUUGAUGUGAAUGUUCAAAACUUGAAAGCAAUCUUUCUCACAACUAAAAAACUCAUAUCUGUUUCUCUUGUUUGUUUUAAAACAUAAACAAGCCUUUUAUACUUUUCAAAGAUUGGUCAAAGCAUUUAAUGAAGGAGCGUGUUUAGUUAAAAAUCAGUUAAAUCACAUUCAAUAACCAAAACAGAAUUCUGUUAGGAUUUUUAAAGAAACAAUCGAUUGAAACCACGAAACAAUCGAUUGUUUUGGUUUGACAGCAAGUCAACCAACCAAAACAGUUUUCAACCUUUUCAAAAACACCUAAGAGUAAAACAAUCGGUUGUUACGACAAAACAAUAGGUUGUUUUUCACUUAGUUUGAAAAACACUUAAAUUCAAAAAGGUUUUAAAACACAUUAGCUUUAGAUUCAACAAAGAGUGGAUUACACUUUUAAACUACCCAGAUCCCACCCCAAACACAACAACAACUCCCGCCUUGCAUCAAACACUUGGAUUUGGAUUCUUCAACGCCCUUGAUCACUCUUGAUCAACAGUUUUCACUAGUUAGGAUUCCUAUAUAUGUUAAUGGCAUAGACAUUUUUUGUUUUGAUCAACAAAGAAUAAAAUGAAUUAAAAUGGAGCAUUUCAAACAUUUUAGGGAUGCUCCAACCCUUAUAGAAAAGUACUAUAUGUUAUAAGCCUUACAAACCAAAGGUACACCAUCUAAGCAAAGACAAAGUGCUACAAAACAUAUUAUAUUGGUGAAGGCUUACUUCAGCAAAAAUUACAAUCCCAAUUCCAUUGCUGCAGUGAUUGUUCUGCAUUAGCACUAUCCUGGAAUUAUUCAUGGUUUACUCAAAUCAGAGCCCGAACAAUAGCCCUUUCCUCCAAAGCCUCCUCCAAUGUUCCUAGUAACCUACAACAUAACCUCAACUACCAUAUGCCUGUAAUAAUAGAACAAAAACCUUUCCCUUCCUUGGCUAAGGAGUAAGUCAAUUCUUUUAAACUUAACCUUAUUAACCUCCACAUAAACUGCAGAAACAAAAUUAUGUAAAACAACUCAUAAAACCAGAGCUAACUUACCCAACAUUAUACUUCACACAAAAGGACCCCAAGCAUUGUUGAAUUGGACAAUAUGACAACAUCUAGAAUUGUUCUUUGUUUCAAAGUGAUUGAAACCUUGUUUCUAUUAGGUCACACAAUCACAUCUCUUUAAAGAUCUCAUUGCGGCAGUACCUUAAUCCUCUCAUACUCUUCUAAUCCCAUAAAAAAAUAUGACACAAGUCCUCCAUUCUAUGUGAUUCCAAUCUGCCUUCAGUUCCAAUAUUUUUCUUCCCUUAAAAUUCCCCUAUCUGCCACAAACUUCUGACAUAUGCCACGAUGCCCAUGUCCUAAAAUCAUGUUGUUCCUCUUUAGCUCACCAUCAUUGUGGCUCGACUACUAUUAGAGCUUCAUGGGGAUCGUUCUACUGCCUCUUAGACUUAUCACCUCAGCACUAAGGCAUUGCUGGUAGAAUGCCUUCGUAGACCUUGAAUAUUUUGUUUCCCUCCUUCUUUCUAUUUCCAUCUUCUGUUUUUAACCUCAAGCUGCCUCUUGUCAAGCUUCUAUUUCUUUCCCAUAUGUACUACAACAGAGAAAACCCUUAAGAAACAUCUGUUUAGGGCUAUAAUAGUUUUACAUAGACUAAUCUUUACUACCUCACACACAUAGAAUUUUAAGCUUGUGAGCCAUACAGAAGUUCUUACUAACCUAUAGAAUACAUACAAUUUAAAGGAUAAAACACCCAAUCAGAAAAAAAGCAAAAUUAAAAUUUGUUAUCUUCCUCUUCAUUCAUGACCAAGCUUGUAGUUGUGCUCUACUAAGAAUUUUAUAUGGAUCCACUCUCUUUCCUUUAAAAACCACCCCAUUUCUUUGGUUUCAAAUGCUCCAUAAAACGGAUACCCACAUGCCUUUCCACACACGAUUUCCUUUUGCAUUAAAUUGUGGUAAUGAAAACUUGAUCAAGUGUUGCUUGAGAUCAUUGUAAUACACUGUGUUCCCACCCACUUGGAUACCGUCGACCAUACAAAAUGGCACAAACAUAGUUGAACAAUAAAGUAUUAUCGCAUUUUGUUCCCAACUUACUCAUGAAAAUUGAAUUUCAAUCCUGAUAACAACUCAAAAGAUCUUAAUAAUUUCUUCAAAGUGAACAUUUUGAGUUUUAUUUUCACAUAUAAGUUUGGUUGGGUUGCUUAAUUUUUCGUUAGUAUAGUGGGUUUUUGGCAAGUUGUAAGGAAAUUGUGGAGGUUGUUGUAUUCUGUUCUAUAUAAGGGUUGAAUUACCUUUGAAGUGAUUCAUAUUUUUUUUACUGAUAAAAAAAAUAUUAUGACAACUAAUUGCACGUCUUCUUAUAUAAAUUGAAACGAUCAAUUUUUCUACAAAACUUGUUGGAAAAUCAUUCACCCCAUCAAAUAUGCAUUUUUAUCAUUUUUCUUUGUCUAAUUUAAUACGAAUUAUACAUCUUCACAUCAUUUAUAGAACCUCUAUAAUGCUUUCUCUUUAUUAAUUGCUUUGAAAGCAAUGUAUUCAUAGCAUUGAGAACACAAAUCAAACUACGUGCAAUGUUAUCCAUGUAGCCCCCAAUAGAUCGAACAAGUUUGUCUAAGGCCACUAAAGAUGGAAUUGAGCAAAUGCCUUAUGGAUAACCUCACUUUAGGGAGAUUGAUGAUCAAUUGAAUGCAGUAAAAAAUUUGAUUUGAUUUAAUAAAAUUAAAAGUUAUUUAACCUGGAUUUGAUGAUUCAAAUUUCAUAUGUAUAUGUUAGAUCAAAUGUGAAGACUAUACAUGAUUGGUAAGGGUGGACAAAAACUGCAAAUUACCAAACCCGAUCCAUAAUUAUCCAAAUCUAUAUUAUUUUUAAUCCAUUUAAAUGGAUUUAUUUCAAAUCCAAAUUCAUAUUUUUGGAUUUUAAGUCCAAUUCAUUCAAUUGGAUAUGAAUUAGAUAUAGAUUGGAUACAUUUUUGGAUUAUCUAAAAUGAAUUUUGGGUUGGAUUUUGACUUGGCCCCGACCUAGGUUCAGUUGAGUCAAUCCAGGCCAGGUAGACCAAAGUCAGCCCGAGUCCAUGUGGAGCCAAGUCUGCCCAGGCCAAAGUCAAGUAUAGUCGGUAUGGGCCAAAGUCGAGUCAAGUCGAUCCGGGCUAAAGUCCAACCGAGUCGGCCAAGGAAAAAGUCGAGCACAGUCAACCUAGGCCAAAGUUGAGCCAAGUAAACCUUGACCUAAGUCGAGCUGAGUGCACUAGAGCCCAAGUCGAGUCGGCACUCGGACAACAUAAAGUUGGCACUAGGGCUAUGUCACACUAAGUCGACCCGAGCCCAUGUCGAGUCGAGGCUUGGGCCCAUGUUGAGUUGAAUUAGUUUGAGCCCAUGUUGAGCCAAGUCAGCUAAGGCUAUAUUGAGCCAAGUUGACCUAGGUCGAGUCGAGCCGAGUCGGCCCGCAUCCCUAUCGAUCCGAGUCAGGCCAGGCAAAUGCCGAGCCGAGUCAGAUUGGGCCAAUAUCGAGCCGAAUCGGCUCAGGCCAAUGUCGAGCGGAGUCGGUCCAAGCCAAUGUCGAACUGAUCCAGUCCGAGCCCAUGUGAAGCAUAGUCGUCCUGGGCCCAUGUCGAGCAGAGUCGGCCCGGGCCCAUGUCCAGCCGAUUCGAUCCAGGCCCAUGUCGAGCUGUUGUUGAGCCAAGUUAGUCCUAAACGAUGUCGAGCCGAAUCGAUCCAGGCCAAGUCAAGUAGAGUUAGCUCGGGACCAUCAUGAGCCGAGUCGGUCCUGACUGAUGUCGAGCCGAGUCCGUCUGGGCCAAUUUCGAGCCGAGUUGGCUUGGGGUGGAUGGCGAGCCGAGUCGGCCCAGACCCAUGUUAAGAUGCAUCGCUAGGGCGAUGUCGAGUCGAGUCGGAAGCGCCCAUGUCAAGUCGAUUCGACGUGGGCCUAUGUCGACCCUAGUCUACCUAAGCCCAUGUAGAGCACAGACGGUCUGAGCCCAUAACGAGCCACGUCAAUUUGGACCCAUGUGUUGAACAAGGUGAUUUAAUGUCUCCAAAUCCAAGUGGAUUGCUUGAAUACCCUGUUGCUGGUUGUGUGUGUGUCUUGUGUAGUUUGAAUUUGUUAAUCAACUCAAAGUAAUGAUCCAAGGUUGUUUUACUAAAGUUCUUUUGAAAAAUAUAUGUUUUCUAAAGAAAGUGAAAAAUCAACCUGUUGAACUUUUGAUUUAACCGGUUAUUUUAUAUUUAGUGUAUUUUGAAAAGGAAUUGAAAAAACUUGACUUUGGUUGACUUUGCUGUCAAACCAAUUCAAUCGAUUGUUUCGUGUUUUCAAUCGAUUGAUUUUUUUAAAACCUUAAUAGAAAUCUGUUAAGUGGCUUUAUUCUGUUUUAAUUUAUUUAAAAAUGUUUUGACUCUUGCAUUAAAUGCUUUAACUAACUGAUUGGAGUUUAAAUAAUGUGUUUUACGCUCUUGGUCUUAAUUAAUUCAAGGAAAUCAUUCAAAUAAUUUUUUCCAAGAUUGCUAAGUGUUUUUGGAUAUUUUCUUAAAACGGAAUAGGAUUGUGUUAUAUUCAUUUUGCUUUAAAAUGAAAUUGUACCCAACUAUACUCAUUACUUUCUCUCUUGACUACAGUAUUUCUGUGAGAAUUGGUGUUGUGCAGGUUUAGAGGUUGUUAUGAAAUUUGUGGUGUUUUUGCCAAAGGUGGUGUUCUUGAAGGGUUCAAGAUCACCACUUUGGUGUGUUGUGUGUAAUUAAGGUUUUUUAUUGCUUAGUGAAUUCUCAGUGAUUACUGAGGAAUGGAUGUAGCUCUUGGUAUAGAGUGAACCAGUAUAAACUCUCUGUGUUGAUCUCUCUAUCCUUUCUUUCUUUUAAAACUAUUUUUGCUUUGUUUAUAACAUUUUUGGUAUAAACAACCGAUUAUUUUGUUAAAACAACCGGUAGAUUUUUUGCAAUCAGAUUAAAAAUAGUUUUGAACUUGGAUGAACUGAUUUCUAAUUGGUUUAUUCCUCAUUGUCUUUCAAUCUACCUUCAAAAUUUACUUAAAUCUUUCAUAAACAAUCACCCCCUUUUGUUUAAGGUCUAUAUUUCGAACAAUUGGUAUCAGAGCUAAGUUUUUGAAAGUCAUUCAAGUUUUCGAUCCUAAAAUAUUUUUUAUCGCUAAAAAGGUAACCUUUGGGAAGGGUGCUUCAAUUAACAAGUCACCUCUGUUUUGUGGUCUGAAUUAUCAGUUUUGGAAGGUUAGAAUGAAAUCUUUAUAAAAUCAAUUGAUAGAGGAAUUUGGGAUGCCAUUGAAAAUGGUCCUUUUAUUCCAAAAGCUGAAAAAUAUGAUGUUUCUAUAGAAAAACCUUGGUCUCAAUGGACUAAGUCUGAAAGAAAAAAAAAACUCAAUUUGAUUGUAUAACUAAAAACAUCAUUACAUCUGCUUUAAAUUCUGACGAGUUUUUCAAAGUCUGACAAUGUGCUUCAACAAAAGAAAUGUGGGAUAUUCUUGAAGUUACCCAUGAAGGAACCAAUUAUGUAAAGAGAACAAUAAAGCAUGCUCUAAUUCAAGAGUAUAAGAUAUUCAAAAUGCAAAAAGGGGAGACCAUUGCUGAUGUACAAAAGAGGUUCACUCACAUUGUCAACCAUCUCAUCAGCCUUGGAAAAACCUUUGAAAGAGGGGAACUCAACAUCAAGAUCCUCAAGUGCUUGGACAGAUCAUGUCAACCCAAAGUCACAGCCAUUUUUGAAUCCAAGGAUUUGACUACCUUGACAGCUACCUCCUUGUUUGGAAAACUUAGGGAACACGAAAUUGAGAUGAAUAGGCUGAAUGAUCAAGAGCAUGAAGGGAGAAUCAUUGCUUUGAAGACUACUGGUCACAAAGUCUGUCAAAAAUCAAGUGAGGACAGUGAUGGAGAAACUCUUAACUUGCUUACCAUAAAAUUCAACAAGUUCUUGAACAAAAAUAGCAACAAGAACCAAUCCUCAAAUAGGUAUAACAACAAGAAACUCAAUUAUUUUAAUGUUAACAAUUAUACAUGUUUUGGAUAUGGUAAAUAGGGCCAUAUCAAAGCUUAUUGCCCCAACAAUUAAAGUAAGGAGAGAGGACAAAACAAGAAAUUUAAGAAGAAGGGAAAAACUAAAAGAGCCUACAUUGCUUGGAAAGACAAUGAUGUUUCUUCCUCUAAUUCAUCAUGAAUUGGAGAUGAAGAGGCAAAUUUGUUCUUGAUGGCAAAGGGAGAAUCUGACACAAGUAGUGUAAGUUCCAGCACCUCAAAUAAUUUUGUAAAUUACAAUCAGUUUCUUGAUGCAUUUAAAGAAACUCAUGAAGAAGCCCAUAGGUUGGCCCUUUUGAACAACCGCUUGAAAGGCAUUUAUAAUUGGCUAGAAAACAUAGUCAAAGCAUAGGAAGAAGAGUUGAACAAUUAGAAAAAUGAUUUUGAAAAUCUGGAAAUGAUUUACAAAAACUCUUCUUGCAAAUGUGAUUCAAGCUUUUGUGAAAAUUGUGAAUCUCUUCAAAAGAAGGUUCAUUAUCUUGUAAAAACUGUGGAUAAGUUUUCAAAAGGCCAAUCAAACUUUGAAAUUGUUCUUGCAUAUCGAAUAUGUGUUUUUGGCAAACCUGGAUUGAGUUUUAAUCCACACAGCAAUAAAAUAUCAGUUUCAAAGCCAUUUUCAAGCUUAUUUAAAAAACAACCGAUUGAAAUGUCGAAACAACUGGUUGUUUCAUGCUUUGAUUGUAUGAAGUAAGUCCACUCUGUUAGAUUUGCAGAGUUAGGAAAUUUUUUGUUCCUAGUGGUGUUUUGAAAUGGGUUCCUAAGAAUUCUAAGGUUUCUAAUGAUCCAAUUAAUGCCCAUGGACCCAAAUUCACUAGGGGACCAAAUCUUGUCUCUUGAAACCUUCUUGCAUGUACUCUUGAGAGCCUAGAAUCAUUGGUGUGAAGAAUGAAGCCUCAAAGGAGGAGAUUUGUACAAGAUUCUUGAGUACAGUUCUUGAUUGCAUACUGAUUUCUUGAAAGUCAAGUGAUACUCUUGACUCGUGUACAAUGGGUGUCUUAAGAGAAAAAUCCUCAAAAGCUAAAAUGUUGUGUAUUUUUACUUCUUAAUUUGUAUAUUUGGUUCACAUUGAUUAAAUGAAAUCUUAAUUGAUUCUUUUUCUUGAUUAAAUGUGUGGUGAAACAUCUUUAUGCAAAGGUUUAUGUAAUCGGCACUAUGCAGUUUCAUCUUUGUCAGGUUUAUGAAAACUCUCAACUGCUGUCACAGAAAAACAACCGAUUGUUUUACCUAUGACAACAUUGUAUUAAAGCUAUUUUGAAUUUCUGUGCAUGGGUACAAUUGUUUCUUUCCAUUCAAAACUGUUAUGGGUCAAAAUUACUUUUAUGGAGGCUUUGAAUACAACUUUAUUGGGAUUUAAUUUGGUCAUAAUGGAAUAUAUUCCAUAACAUCUUGGAAACUUAAGAGCUUUUGGAUGUUUAAAUAUGGAUUGUGCUGUCACUGGCAAAUCUGUUUGGAGGCUGACGGAUGGCAAUAUUCUCUAUGAACAAAUUCUUUCUUUGUUGAAAAACAACCCACUAAAUGCCCAUACAUGUUGAUUGUUUUUUCUGCUUAAAUACAUGUGCUGGUUCAACUAUCUUUCUUCACAGAAUCAGCCCAUUAUUUUUCCUCUACUGGGUUCUUUUCUUUUUUGAAAAAUUAUAUUUGAAUCAUGGACUCAACUCCUCCCUCAUAAAAAAGGAUGAAGACUUGUGUUGUAAAGAGAGGAGGGCAUCUUGAAUCUGGUUUGCAGGGGAUGAUGAAAAAAUUGAGAAGUUCCUUCAUGAAACUAGUAGGAAAGCCAUCAACAACCCAAAACUUAUCUCCUUCAACUGGUUGAAAGAGAAGAACCUCAUUGAAGUGAGGAAUGUUUUGAAGGAGCAACUACUUUAAAGGUUCCUGGUGAUGUCAGGGAAUAUCUAUCCUGAUCUAGUAAAGGUUUUCUAUACAAACCUUCAUAUGGUUGGUGAUAAUCUUUGCUCACACGUGAAAGGAAUUAAUAUGGAGAUAACUCCAAAAGUGUGUUUUGUUGUAGCUGGGUUGAAAUAUUCUAGGCUAAGGAUAAAUAAAGGAAACAUUGGGGUUGUAGAAGAGUUCAACAAGAUGCAGUACUAUAGGAACUGCCUAAAAAAUCCUUAAUCCAAAGUGAAGAGUUUUUUUGUGGGAGGCAUCAAGCUAAAUGAAAGAAUUAUUGCUUUUGUUGUAUCUUGGAUGCUGACUCCAAGAGGAAACAACCAUUUUCUCUUGACUGCGGAAGAUAUUGUCCUUAUCUACUGCACAACACCAAUUUUGAAAAGGAUUUAAAAAAGCUUAACUUUUGUUGACUUUGUUGUCAAACCAAUUCAAUCGAUUGUUUCGUGUUUUCAAUCGAUUAAUUUUUAAAAACCUUAACAGAAAUUUGUUAAGUGGCUUUAAUAUGUUUUAAUUGAUUUAAAACUGUUUUGGCUCUUGCAUUAAAUGCUUUGGCCAACUGAUUGGACUUUAAAUAAUUUGUUUUACGCUCCUACUCUUAUUUAAUUUAAGAUAAAUCAUUCAAAAAAAAAGAUUCCAAGAUUGAUAAGUGUUUUGGAUCUUUUAUAAGAAUGAAAUAAGAUUGUGUUGUAUUCAUUUUGCUUUAAUCUGAAAUUGUACCCAGCUAUACUCAUUCUUUUCUCUCUUGACUACUGUAUUUUUGUGAAAAUUGGUUUUGUGCAGGUUCAGAGAUUGUUAUGAAUUAUGUGGUGUUUUUGCCAAAAGUGAUGUGUGUUCUUGAAGGGUUCAAGAUCAUCACUUUGGUGUGUUGUGUGUAAUCAAGAUUUUUGAUUGCUUAGUGAAUUCUCAGUGGUUACUGAGGACUGGAUGUGGCUAUUGGUAAAGAGUGAAUCAAUAUAAACUUUAUGUGUUGAUCUCUCUAUCCUUUCUCUCUUUUAAAACUGUUUUUGCUUUGUUUUUAACAUUGCUGGUAUAAACAACCGAUUGUUUCACAAAAACAAUCGGUUGAUUUUCUGCAAUCACAUUAAAAAUAGUUUUGAACUUGGCUGAACUAAUUUCUAAUUGGUUGAUUCCUCUUUAUCUUUCAAACUACCUUCAAUAUUUGCAAAAAUCUUUCAUAAACAAUUGACCCGUCCUCUUGUUUAAGGCCUACAUUUCUAACACCAUGUCGAGCCGAGUCGACCCAGGCCCAUGUCAAGCCGAAUCGAGUCGGGCUAUGUCGAGCUUAGUUGGUUUGGGCCCAUAUCGAGCGUAGUCGGCCUGGGCUUAUGUUGAGCUGAGUCAACCUGAUCCCAUGUUGAGUCAAGUCAAUCCGGGCCCAUAUCCUGGCCGAUGUCAAGCCGAGUCAGUCCGGGUGAUGUCGAGACGAGUCGACCUGGGCCGAUGUCAAGAUGAGUCGGCCCGGAGCUGAUGUUGAGCCGAGUCGGUCUGGACCCAUGUCGAGUCGAGUCAAUUUGGGUUCAUGUCUAGUCGAGUCGACCUAGGCUCAUGUCGAGUCAAGUCGGUCGGGGCCGAUGUAGAGCCUAGUCGACCUGGGUCCAUGUCGAGCCAAGUUGGUCGGGAUCCAUGUCGAGUUGAGUUUGUCUGGGCCCAUAUUGAGUUGAGUUGGCCCGGACCCAUAUCGAGUCGAGUAAACUCGGGCCCAUGUCGAGUUGAGUCUGGCUUGUUCCAAGUUGAGCCUAGUCUGCCCAAGUCCAAGUUUACGCGAGUCGGCCCAGGUCCAGGUCCACCCGAUUCAGCCCGGGACCAGGUCUAACUGAGUGGACUCAGCUAUAGAUCUAGCUAUGUUAGAUUAGGUCGUGUUCAAAUCAAAAUGGAUUUGAUAUAAUUUACAAAGUGAAUUUAAUCCAGAUCACUCUAAUUUGAUUGUAUACGUAUAAUGGCUCUCCUUUUUAAAUUAUCACUCUGCCUAACUCUACUUAAUACUACGUAAGGGCCUAACUCUACUUAAUACUACGUAAGGGUUAGGUACAAAACCAACUCCUAAUACUUCACACAUGCAAUAAAUGGUAACAUUUAUUUUCUCUAUGCUUUUUUUAGUCAUCCCAUACUUACACAAAAGACAACGUUUGUACGAAUAGAUUACAUAAAAGAUAACGUUUGUAUGGUUCUAUGUUUUAUUUUUUUAAUAAUUCAUCAUAUUAAUAAGUAGCAAAUGAUGGAUGAAUUCCCAUGUCCUAUUCGUGUUAUCAUCACAUAAUCAUUCAUUGUGUGUCAUCUUUUAUGUAUAAAAAAUGUAACUUACAAUUAAACCAAUUCCAUGCAUUUAAUCAUGGGCGGCUUAAUUAGAUUCAUGUGCUAAUCAUGCUAUUAAUUAAUUAACAACUCAAAUAGAGAUAAAUUUAUUUUAAUGGAAGAAAUUAUUAUUAUUAUCAAAUUCACUAGAUUCACAUAAGUUGUAAUCUAGUACAAACAACUAUAAAAUACACUCUCAAUCAUGUUUCCUUCUCUUAACGUUGAGUUUAAGCUUUGACCUCGUACAUAAAACAAACACACAAAUAUAAUAUAUAUAUAUAUAUACGAAUUUUAAACUCAUCUACAAUGUUUUACAUUUAAAAUGUGUAUUUACAAAAGAUAUUAAGUUUAAGGACCAACCUAGAAUGAAAGUAAAUUUUAAAGUCUUUAUUGAUAAAAUUUAUAAUUAUAUAUUAUAAAAAAAUAUAAUAAAAUUGAGUACUUAAAAAAUAUUUCAAUUCAUAUAAAAAAAAUAAGUUGAACAACAACCCUCUAUAUCCUACAUAUGAUAUUCUUCUCAUAUUUUGCAAAAUGAAACUAACUCCAACCAUAAAAAACUACAGUCGCACAGGCAUAGUCAGGCUCAGAGGAAUUACAAAUAAAAUUGUAUCUAAAUAUAAAUAUAAAUUACUGCCAUCAAUUAGUUAUUGUCAUUUUACUACAAAAAUUAGUUGCUCAAUUUCAAAGAAAACUUCUGCUAAAACUUCUAGAGAUAGAGAGAAGCAUUUUUUUUUUUCAAACUAGGCACUGCCUAUUAUAAUUUUAUUUGAGAUAUGCAGAGAAUAGCACCUUUCAAAUUACAAACACUAUAAAACUUAAAGUUAAGUUUAAAGAUAAAUAAGUAAAACAACAUUUCUUCCUCUUAUUUUUUUUUUCUUCUUUCUUUUCCAAUCUACUACCUUCUCCUCCCAUGUUAUCUUCUACUUCUCGACCAUAUUAGGAGAAAAGUAAUAAAAGAGAUGAAAGAGAAAUAAUUAAUACAAGAACUUGUUGGAUUGAGAGAUUCAACAUCAAUAAUCUUGGCUGGGUAGCCUUGUUUGCUGUUUUUAAAGAAGAAUUUCAUGCUUUUUAAAAUUAAAAUUGAUAGUGGUCAAUAUUUUAUAUAAAAAUUAAUUUAUAUUAAAUUUUUUAUACAUCAUUUUAUUCAUUGAAAUAUUGUUGAUAUCCAUUACUACAAUAGAUCCAAAAUAAAAUAAUGAAAAAAAAAUAAAAAAAUUGAAAACAAAAUUAAAAAAGUAGCAGACUAAACCAUCAACCCACCCAGGAUGAAUUACUAAUUGCAGCCUGUAAAAACUUGUCUUACUUUUUGAUGGACAGUUGCGAUUCAGUGCAAAACAAGUCUAAUUUGUCUGUUUUGUAACCCAUAACUAAGAGUAUAAAUUUUAUUUUUUUUAUCAACAAAUAAUAAAUUAAAUUUAUGAGAUAUUUUAGGAAUAUCCCAACCCUUAUACAAAAAAUCAUCAUUCUUCUCUCAUACUUACCAGAUAAGAACAAAGUAUAUAGAAAAGCAUAAAACAUAAUAUAAUUCAUAACAAAGAGGUUGCUUCCCUAUUCCUAGAUAGGUAGAACUUGUGUAAGUUGGGAAGACCUUCACAGAAAAAAAAAAAACACACCUUGUGCUGUGGGGGGCUAUAGCCCCCGAGAACCUCACACGGACAUCGAACUCGCAAAAAGUUAAAAAAAAAAUUGCUGCAAGAGAAGACAUUAUAUUCAACCUCAACUUGAGAGAGAACAUGUGAAAGUUAUAGGGACCUAAUAAAGUCAUAUUUUAUCACCAUAUAAUUUUAGGUUUCUUUUUUCAUCAAUGUAGUAGAUUGUGUGUUCAAUGUAAGGAGUUUGAAUAUUAGUACCUCAAAUUCAUCUUGCAUCUUAUAUUAGAUGUUUGAAUAUAAUUUUUGUAAAAGUAGGACUUGAAAGUCUUAAAAAUUCAGUUGUGCAUUUGCUUUUAAUGUUGAUUAAUGAUGAGGAUGGACAGUGGAUUUUAUUGUUUUUUUUUUUAUCAGCAAAUAGCAAUGAAAUUAAAUAAGACCACUUCAGGGGUGGUCCAACCCUUAUACAACAAAACAGAUUUUCUCAAAGAGCCUUUCCAUCUACAUAUCAACCAAAAGACCUCCUACUCUCUUUCCCAUCUCAAUCAAUAAUAAAAGAAACCCAAGAAACAACAUUUUACAUAAAAACUAAACAGAAUACAUACAUACCAAGGGUUCAAGACACCAAUCAGAGAAUGAGAUUUUAUUGUAUUAUCCUCUCCUUUUGGAAUCACUGAAAACUCCAAAGAUUGUAAUUAAUGAACGGCAUUAUCAUGCAUAAAAAAAACAGAUUUGUUUAAUCAUGGUACUUGCAUGUAUCCUCCAAAAUAUUUCUAUAAAUAGCCUUACCCCAUUUGAGCACAAAACACAGUAAUUGAGUACAAUAUUCUUGUGAAGCAAUUAAUGGCUCAUUUGGUUUUGUUUUUUGUUUUGGUGUUUGGUGGGCAAGUGAUUGGUGGAUUGAGUACCCAAAAACUACCUCCACCAGACUAUGGAAGCAUGAUAACUAUUCUGACCGUUGAUAGUGGUGGUAUCAAGGGGAUUAUUCCAGCAAAAGUUCUUGAUCACUUAGAUAAGGCUCUUAAGGUUGAUUAUUGUGGUUAAUACUAUGCAUGUAUUGAAAUGGCAUGAAUGAAUAUUUAUGAGGUUAAUUUGAAUUUGGUUGAGUUGCAGGCUAAGAAUCCAAAUGCAGAUAUAGCACAUUAUUUUGACGUGAUAGGAGGGACUAGCACUGGUGGACUCAUGACAGCUAUGUUAGCCACCCCAAGCCCUCAGAAUCCUAAUCGUGCUGCCUUUAGUCCUGCACAAAUUGUAGACUUCUACAAACAAAAUGGCCCUAAUAUAUUCAAAGCAUCUGGGUAUAUCUAAUAAAUAUUUAAUAAUUCUCACAAACGCAACAUCAUCAAAUGUUAAUAUUCUAUCAAUUUCNNNNNNNNNNNNNNNNNNNNNNNNNNNNNNNNNNNNNNNNNNNNNNNNNNNNNNNNNNNNNNNNNNNNNNNNNNNNNNNNNNNNNNNNNNNNNNNNNNNNNNNNNNNNNNNNNNNNNNNNNNNNNNNNNNNNNNNNNNNNNNNNNNNNNNNNNNNNNNNNNNNNNNNNNNNNNNNNNNNNNNNNNNNNNNNNNNNNNNNNNNNNNNNNNNNNNNNNNNNNNNNNNNNNNNNNNNNNNNNNNNNNNNNNNNNNNNNNNNNNNNNNNNNNNNNNNNNNNNNNNNNNNNNNNNNNNNNNNNNNNNNNNNNNNNNNNNNNNNNNNNNNNNNNNNNNNNNNNNNNNNNNNNNNNNNNNNNNNNNNNNNNNNNNNNNNNNNNNNNNNNNNNNNNNNNNNNNNNNNNNNNNNNNNNNNNNNNNNNNNNNNNNNNNNNNNNNNNNNNNNNNNNNNNNNNNNNNNNNNNNNNNNNNNNNNNNNNNNNNNNNNNNNNNNNNNNNNNNNNNNNNNNNNNNNNNNNNNNNNNNNNNNNNNNNNNNNNNNNNNNNNNNNNNNNNNNNNNNNNNNNNNNNNNNNNNNNNNNNNNNNNNNNNNNNNNNNNNNNNNNNNNNNNNNNNNNNNNNNNNNNNNNNNNNNNNNNNNNNNNNNNNNNNNNNNNNNNNNNNNNNNNNNNNNNNNNNNNNNNNNNNNNNNNNNNNNNNNNNNNNNNNNNNNNNNNNNNNAGUAGCUACCUUCGAAUUCAGGUAUUUCUUUUCAUAUAUUGGUGGUAAGAGGUUUUCAUUUCUCUUAAGAAUUAUUUAUAGUUUUGGAUUAUAUAUUGAUGAAUCUUGUAACCAAUGGCAAGAAUACAACUUGAAUCCUGAUUUUAGUGACCCGAGUAAUGUUACACAAGAAAACAUGGACGGCCUUGAAGACACCGGAAAACAACUGUUACAAGAAAAAGUUGUAAAAAGGAAUUUGGAUACUUUUGAUCUAGAACAAGCUGUAGAAACAAAUGCUGAGGCUCUUGACAGGUGAAAAAAAUAAUGAAUUCAUUACCUUCUGGUUUAGUCAAUUAUUAAUUUAACUAGUUUUGAGGAUAAUGGUUUUAUGUGUUUUUAUGAAGGCUUGCUGAUAUUUUGUAUGGAGAAAGACAGCAUCGUCUGAAACGAAAAUCUAUGGAAAAAGGAGGAAGACCAUUUCCUCAAACUCUUAGGGUUCCUUCAGAAAAACUCAAGCAAGUUAUUUAAUGUCAAUUGUAUGAGGUUGUAUUAAUUAUGUUGUACUUUUGUAUAGAAUAAGGUUGAAGGCAUGAGAGUUAUGUGCAACUCUUGUAGCUAGCAAGAACCAUGAAUAAUGCAGCAAGCAUCUCUGUCAUGAGAGUUCUAUGCAGCUCUUGUAUAUUUUCAGAAUGGUGAAUUUUAAAAGCAUCAAUGUAUAAUAAUAUUAUGUUCAACAGUUCUGUGCA
rnacentral:lncRNA from 1 species